GUUUUUUUUUUUUUUUUUUUUGAUGAGAGAAGAAAAUUACAAAGAUAAGCCUUUACAACAGCCUAUACUAAAACGAUCAAAAUUAAAAGCAUUAAGCGCGGAGAGUGGGAGCUGGCAAUUCCAGAGAGUUGGAUUUGGGACCUGAUACCCCAAGCUAGCCAUUGCAACGGCCACAAAAUUUGCUUCCCAAGGGACAUACUUGAAGGAGAUCUCUUCAAAUUUGGAAGCCAUCCAGCCAACAUCGCUAAGAAGAGUACGAAGUCUCCACGGAGGGCGGGACCUGUUAUUAAUAAGGUCAAUAACAAGAUAGAAUCACCCUCAACUUGGAUUUGCCGUAUGUCAUUGCAUAACGCAUGGAACAGACCGUCUUGAAGAGCUAGUCAUUUAGUAAUAGGAACACUGGAGUUACCCACACAACGAGAGCUAACUAAAAUUGGAUUGCCCUCAUGGUCUCUGAUUACAAACCCAGCAGCAGCCUUCUUGUUGUGGCAGACGGAACCAUCAAAGUUGAGCUUGACAAAAUUACACAGAGGCGGGAGCCAUUUGAUGGUGGAACUUGCUGGAAUGGCGGAUCCAUUAGAGUUGGUCUUGUGGCCUCUAGAAGUCGGAGUAUGGCUUUUGUAAGCAUUACCAAAAGAAGCAGCAGCGCACAUCAAAGUUGGGGUUAGGCGUGCAUCCUCUAAAAAUAUAAUUGUUUCGAGCCUCCCAUAAUUUCCAGCAAAGAAGAAUGCAGUUUUUAGCUGUUUCUUUAUCUUUUUCCUUCCUGAACCAGGAAAGAAACUAUUCAUAGAAAGAUGAAUAGUCAAAAGCAUUAGUACCAGCCAUAUUCCAAAUACUCACAGAAAAGGGGCAGGAGAAGAAGAGGUGGUUUAAAUCCUCCUCCCUAUUGCUACAGAGAGUACAAGAAGUGGUAAUCGUGUUUGAGUAACGAGCUAAUCUAGCCCUUGUUUUCAGCCUCCCUCUGGCCAGGAGCCAAGCAAAAAUUUUUGCUCUAGGAGGGAUAUUCAACUUCCAGAUAGCAUUCAUGAUUUAAGAAUUCGAAUGAGGAGAGUAAUUAUCACACUGCACCCAAGUUGCAUACUUGAUAGAAAAAAUACCAGUAGAGGUAGGGCCCCAAACAAACUCAUCACUUGCUCGUUGUUUGUUGCUUCAUGUCUACAUUGGUGGUGGGGUGUGCAAUUUUCAUUGGCAACACUGCUUUAUUUCCAUACAUUAAGUAGAAUGGGGUUUGCUAGUUGUGACUGUAUUGGAGUAAUUCUAAUGACCUAUAAGAACUUGGCAAACUUUCUGCCUUGAGACAUUGGGCCUCAACAAGUUUUUUCAACAGUUUCUUGAUGAUCUAGUUGGCAACUUCUACCUGCUUUGUCCUUGGUGUUGAACUCAGCUCCAUUGUCCGAUAUGAUUGUCUCAAGCAUGCCAGAAUGAUAGUUAAUAUUCUUCUUGUGUGUCAUCAGCUAGUGAUGGCUGAAAGUACCCGUAGUGCAUUGUUUUGUUGGCCAUUGACCGGAUUUGUACAAUAGGCAUUUUGAUCUUCUGGAGAAUCUAUCUUUCUUCUUUAGGCGUUACACAUCUUAAACGUUACACAUAUUGUCACAUCCUAACCCGUAAAUUUUUACCUUAUUUACUAGCUUGGUUAUAAUAAGAAUUUUACCGCCCCCGUCAAUGAAUUUAUAGUUUAUUUGGUCCCUAGAGGGGUUUUGAGGGACAAUUAUCUCGGAGGAAUUAUUCAUAGGAGAAAUUGUGACGACGGUAAGAAUGGUAAAUUUUAGUUAGUAAAGGGUAAUUUUUAUUGGGGUAUUAUUUUUUCGGGGUGUUUUAUUUUGGAGUGGGUUGAUAUAUGGGUGUUGGACCGGUUUGGAGAGGCCCAAACCAUCUCCCUCUCUUCUUUUUCUCUUCCUCCCGAUUCUCUCUCUCCCGAGCCCCUCCUGCUACCGGACUUCCCGUCGCCAGCCAGCCGCCGUCCGGCCACCGUUCGCCGUCGCUCCGGUCCCGAUCGGUCAGCCUCCCACCCAGCUCCCAUCCUAGACCAGUGAGAGCCCCCCCUAGCGCCGCCGUGAGGGAGAGUUGCCGCCCGAAAGUCUCGACUGCCCAAAGCUCUCCGUCGCCGGAACUCCCUCCUCCGGCCACCAAUCCGGGCAAGCCUUAUAUGGUUUUGAAGGUUUCCAACCCAGUUGCCUUGCCCUAGAAGGACUCGGUCCAGUUUGCUUCAGGUGAGGAGAACCGGUGAGUGGAAGUUCUAGGGCUUUUUGUGAUGUUUUUGUUCGAUUGACCUAGUUAGGCUUGGAAUUGAUGUUUGUGCUAGUUAGGAAAGUUGUAGAGGGGGUUGAGAGGAAGAUGCUAUCAAAAUUUCAUUGGUAUUUGAGGUCGCCGGAGCCGGCCUCCGGCCGCCGCUAUUUGGGAGAUUUUUAUGGUUUUAAAUGUGGAAUAUUAAGGGGAGUUUAUUGAUGUGAAUUAUAGAAUUUUUGGAGGAGUUUUGGACGGGUUUGUGAUUUUCCGAAGUUUGGUAUUUUUUACGAUUAAUUAGUGUGGAAUCCGGCCGUAGGAUUUAAGUCGUUAUUCUGGGGGAGGUUGUAAUUACGGCUGCCGAUUAUGGUAUUAAAGUUGGAUCGUUUCGAUUUAGGAAUAUCGAAGUUAGGCAAUGAUGAGCAUGGUUAUGGCUCUCGUUUAAUUUUGUCUAUUUUGUGUAAUACUUGGAUUUUCAGUUGGGAAAUUAAUUUUACGUUUAGAAACAGGACGUGAGCAGGCUCAAGCAGAAGAGACCUCGGAUCGACGUCAGGCUUAGGCCUAAAGUUGUGAGUGGACUUUUGUUUUAAAUAAUGUGCAUGCGAAAUAAUUUAUGUUGUUGGAGAAUAACCGAAAUUGAGAAUUUCGGUGAGUAUAUAUAUAUAUAUCCAUAUUUGGAUGAUUAUGAGAAUAAUAUGUAUAUGAAGGAAUGCUAGCUAGCUAUACGUGCUUUUCCACCAUAUUGAGGUAAAAUUCCAUUAUGGUGCGACGUGAGCGUUAUACGCAAUCGUCGUAGCCCUAUAUAAAUAUAAUAAUUUUUAUAGGAGAUAUGCGCGUAUAUAUUUAUACACCGUCUUUUCCACCAUCAUGAGGUAAAAUGUCAUUAUGGUGCGACGUGAGCGUUAGACGCAAGCGUCGUAGCCUUGUGUGAAUUUCUAUUUGUCUUUGUUGUUUUAAGAAAAUUCAUACAAGGGAUAUGACGAGUGUAAUACAUACAUAUUUUAUUUUAGCCUGAGAGGCUGUAUUUUAUUGAGUUUUGGAGACUGGCCGGAGCUAGUCAUGAAAAUGUCAGUUAUUGUGUUGAGCGUUUUUGAGCUGUUGCAUGCAACAUAUUUUCUAUGGAAAUGUAAAUUGGGAAAGCAUAAAUAUUUUCAUUAAAUUUAUUUUUGUCCCACUCUAACGGAUUCCAAUGUUUUCCCCUGGGCCAUUCGUUUUAAAAAUGCCCAGCUUGCAGGUUAGCAUAGUUGAGGUCGGGCGUACAUGGAGAUGAGGCAUAGUCAUCAUAUAGCUUCCGCUUGUUAAUUUAUUAUGUUUUCUUCCUAUUAGAGUUGCUCUGAACCUAUAAAUAGUUGGAUAUGAGAUUUGUGUAGAUAUUUAAAUAAUUUGGGAGAUGUUGUGUUGGGGAGCAUGAAGGCUCCAUUAGUAGAGAUUUCUAGAUGGAUUCUUUUGAAGUGUAUGCAAGUAUUAUUAGGAAGGGUUGUCUAUUUUCAAGAGAGGUCAUGCUGAUUUUUCGGUAAACUCUCCUUAGAGGUGGUCCCCGCAGGAUUUACUUUGGGUUUCAGGAUAAAAUUCGGGGUGGGUCUUGACACAUAUUAUGGCGGUAGAGCUUUCUAUUCUGGAUGUUGUACUUUGUAGCUGGCCUGAUUAGUUUUUGAGCUACCACCUUAUUUUCUGACAGUGUCCAGUCACGCUUGUAUGCCAAGAAUUCGUCCAUCCAUGAUGAGUUUGUCUCAAUGUUGAAUAUUUAUAUCCUUGUGUCUUCUGGGCUCUGAUGUGGCUGAGUUGUCGCUAGUCGUGCCAGAGAACAAACCUUUGCAUUGUUUGCCCUUGGGAUGUGUGAUGCUAUGGAAUUUGAACUUUUCCACCAUGGGAUCAUUUCGAUUACAUGAGUAAUGGGGAUUCAGAAUAUCACACAUUGAUCAAUCAAAGAGAGAUUCAUUCACGUACCGCAAAUAGGCGAUCAAAUGUGGGUUCUUUGUUUGGAAAGAGUCGUUGACUAUAAUUAACCAGCAACUAUGAGUCACUAAAGAUUUUAAUACUUUCUGCAUCUGAGCCAACGACCAAUAUCAGCCUAACAAUGAGGAAUUAAUACUCUGCUACAUUGUUAAUUUCCUUGAAAUUGAACUACAUGGUAUAUUCCAACUCUAGCCCACCUUGGCACAUGCAGACGCAUCAACAUGUAAGUACCAUGGCGAUUCUUCGUAAGCAAGAUUCGUAGCUGCUGGUGGCAUUUCCGCUAGGGGCUUGUCUGCCUCCACCAGGAAGCAUCUUCUCUUUCAGUUAUCUUUGCUAUGAAAUCUGCCACUGCAUAUGGCUUUUCAUGGCGGUUAUUGGCUUGUACUCAAUGUCAAACUCACUCAAGACUAUGAAACUGUCACACCCUAAUUUUUUUUAAAAUAACUAUGAAAUAGAGUUUCCAUAAUCAGAAUAGGAAAGAAAUUGGCAAAGAAUAACUCAACACUAAACUGAAAUAUAUCCUUUAUUAUAAUAGAUCUUCAAACCAAAAUUACAAGAGUAAACUAACUAGAGUCAAAGUCUAUUCUACGGAAACAAAAAUAAUAUGCAUAUUACAAUACGAUAACAUCCUUAAGAGAAACUCAACUUGUUCUUUACCUGCACAAUAAUUUAAGGAGUGAGCACAAACAGCUCAAACAAGAUAGAAUAUGAACAACUUUAGUAAAAUAGAUGAAUGCAUCUAUUAUCAACUCCAUAUAUUUUAUAUAGCAAAAUAUAUUAAGUCUACAUGUCUCAAACCAUGUAUUUUACCAAGAUAGUAGAUGAAUGCAUCUAUUUCAAACAAGAUAGAAUAUAAACAACUUUAGUAAAAUAGAUGAAUGCAUCUAUUAUCAACUCCAUAUAGUUCAUAUAGCCGAAUAGACUAAGUCUACAUGUCCCAUACCAUGUAUUUUACCAAAAGGGUGACUUAGGCUGUCACAUCCCGGUUCUUAAGUUAAUUUGCGGGUAUUUACUUUUGUUUUACUUUGACCUUAUACCGUUUUGAGUAACCGUUUUCUAUUCAAGGACCCUAGAGUUGAUUUUUUGUAGGAAAUUUUUUUGGGAAAAUUUCUUUAAGGAAGUCGUAGAGNNNNNNNNNNNNNNNNNNNNAAGUAACUACUCUCUCUCUCUCUCUCUCUCUCUCUCUCUCUCUCCUCUCUCCCGCGCCUCUCCUCCUACCGGCCACUUCUCCGCCUCCAUUUGCCGCCGUCCGGCCGAGUUAGGUGGCAAGGUGGGUACCGACUUGAAGCUUGGCUCAUCCUUCGUGGAUCUGGGUAGCUGGCCGGUGGAGUCGCGCCGCUGUGAGGGAGCACAAUCGCCAUGAAGUCACGUCUGUGCCGCGGAGGUGUUCUCGCCGGAACUCCUUUUUCCGGCCACCAAAAUCAGAGUUGCUGGUCUCGUUUUGAAGCUCUCCUCCUGCACAACAAAACCUCAAAAGGUUUCAAUCCAUCUUUAGCUAGGUAAGGAAAAUCGGGCAUUUGAAAUUCUAGGGCAUAAAUUGGGAUUAUUGUUGUUUUGGUUUGAUUACCCUAGUUAGACUUAGAAUUGGACUUUGUGCUAACUAAGGAAGUUGUUGUGCGUGUUGAGAGGAAGAUUGUGCCAAAUUUUGGUGAGCAUUAGAGGUCACUAGAGUAGGGGCUGCCGGUGGAGCAGGCGUCGGCACCACCAUUUUUGGGUAUUUUUCAUAUUAAUUAAAGUGUUAUACUGUGAGGAGUUCAUUGAUGUUAAGUUUGAAAUUUUGGAGGAGUUUUGGUUAGGUUUGGAAUUUUUCGAAGAUUGGAGAAAUUGGCGGUUGAUAGAAUAGAUCCGACCAUUUGAUUUCUUGGUUAUCCAAAACUCAAACUUAAUAUCCGAAACAUGCUAUUAAAUUUGCUAGAGAAGUCUAAACAAAGUAAAGGCAGUGUUUACACUUUUUUUCAGUUUCCAAGGAAGCUUGGCGACGUCAAAAGGAUGUUUGGCUUCGUCCUUCAAGUCUCCGACUCUGCUACCUUCGUGGAGAAGUCCUUCAAGGUCUGGCAAGAGAGGAUGAACUCGACAAGGGAGGAAAAGAAGGUCUGCUGCUGCUCUCGUAUCUCUCUGGUUUUUACGUGAAUAAAUGAUGAAAAUUGUGAAGCAGACAACCUCUAUUUAUAGUGAACACGCCAAACCCUAGUUGUGCUCCUAGCCCUUCAUUGAUUUGUGAUCCAACGGAGCAGAAUUAUACUUUAAAUCCUGAUUUAGACCUUCCUAGAAUUCUCUGGAAUGUCUUGUGCAGAAAUCUAUUGCAUAAGGCUUGAAUAUGGACCAGGUACACUCCUUGUUCUCCAAAGAAAAUCACAGCAGUGAAAACUUUCCUUCUUUUGCCUUCAAUUAAACCUUUGACGAAAUUCCCUUCCUUUAUUUGUGCGCAAUUAGAGUUCCUACAAGGGAAAUAAAAUCAGAUAGAUAUGGUAGGAAUAACAUAAUUCAAAUGACGAAUUUAAAGGAAAGAAUCUCCCUUAAUUCUCUGAUUAGCACAUAUAAAAUCCUUGAUUGCUGCAGAAUUCGUCCUCCCCUUUUUAUAGACAUUCACAGAUUCCUAUUCCAAGUUGGAUUAGGUUUUCUGAUUGCAAAUGGUUUCCCUGUCUCAUUAGAAAAGAAAGUUUCCUAAUUAUUUUAGGAAAGUCAGAAUAGGAAAAAUUCAAAAGUAGUAAGUUUCCUAAAUCAAAAUAAGAAAAUUUUUCUUAAAAUGAAAUAGGCAAGUUUCCCUUUCAAAACAGGAAAGUUUUCUAAAUGACUCCUUGCUGCACCAGGAAUCCUCCUUUGAUUAUGAUUUCCCUCAAUUCUUGCUCUUUAGCCUUAUUUUGUGUAAAACUGCCUCUUUUAACCUACAACACAGAAACAAGCUAGAAAUGAUAUUAUUAAGGAAAUAACGAAGCUAAAUAGGGUAGGAAAUACAUUAAGAAUAUAGCAUAAAAUGCGUGUAUCAAGCCCUUUAGUUUUAAAUGCCCAGUUUGCAGGCUAAGUUUAAAUGAGAUCGAGCGUACAUGGAGUCGAUGCAUAGUCAGAGGCUGCUUCCGCUUAUUCUUUAUUAUUUGUUUUUCAUUUAUUAUAGAUAUGCUCUGAUAACCAUUUGAUAUUGUUAUUAGUUGAUUAAGGCUUGAUGGGAGAUGUGAUGAACUUGGGGAGGAGGAAAGCUCCAGGAGUUGUGGGUGGAUGAUUUAUAAUAGAAGUGUUUAUCUGGAAUUUUUCAGGUAAGGGUUGUCUAUUUUCAAGGUAGAUUAUGCCUAAUUUUAGAUAAAUUUUUCUUGAAGGUGGAUCCCGCAGGAAUUACUUCGGGUUUCAAGGUGAAAUUCGGGGUGGGUCCUGACAUAGGCUACUCAUUUAUAUAAACUACCUCCUACUCAAACUCACAUUUCCUUUUUGCUACACUAGUAGAAAAAAAGGCUUAAGCGAUGGUACAUUCAUAUUUCGUAGCUUAAGCAGAUCCUAAGCGACGAAAAUAAAUAUCGUCGCUGGAAAUACAUAUUUCGUCGCUACAAUUUUCUGGGGUGACGAAAUUUUUUUAUCGCCUUAGUUUUGUCGCCACAUGUCCCACUAUGGCGACAAUAAGGUUUUUGUCGCAACUGGUUCAUGUAGCGACGAAAAUUUUAACACUUAAGCGACGAACUUUUUUGUCGCAUUAUAUUCUUCUCCUAACCGACAAAUAAACGUAUCGUUGUCUAAGUUUUAAACUAUAGCGGUGGAAUAUUUGACAAUAGAGCGACAAAACUGUUUGUCGCAUUAUAUCCUUCACUUAACCGACGAAUUAAUUGCCUGUCGUCUUAGAUGAAGACUAAAGUGACGAAACUUUGACUUUAAAGUGACCAAACUGGUUGUCGCAUGAUGUCUUUCACCUAACCGACGAAUUUACUGUUCGUUGUCUUAGAUUAUGACUAAAGCGAGGAAAUAUUUGACUUUAGAGCCACGAAAAUGUUUGUCGUAUUAUAUUCUUCACCUAAGCGAGGGCAUUUUUGACUUUAGCGACGAAAUAUUUUGUCACUUAAGUGAAUUCUUCUUUAGGUUAUGAGAAUCAACCCUUUUUUAUCUUGAUGAUCCAAAGGAGGGUGGGGGUUGGAAAGUUGUUAACAUGAUGUCACAUAGAGGUAUAUUUAUACUGCAACUACACUUGAGAUGAGUAUUGCAAAUAGAUAUUGAUAAUGUGACUCUUGAACCAUAUCAAGAAGCCUCGACGUCUAAUAUCCCCGACAUGGAGACUAUUCGCAUCAACAACGACAAUCACCUCCAACCCCACGAGUACGUUCCCAUUUUUAAUUUAGAGUUUGACUUCAGUUCAUUUCCAUUCAUCCCAUGCUCCUUGCACAUCUUUGGUAAUAAAAUUUGUUCUUUAAAAUCAUAGUCUGCCAAUCGUUGGUAAAAGAAAAUGGAACUCAAAAGAGUAAUUCAUUAAGUUUGGAAGCAACUUCAGUGAGUUAAAAAUAACCAGCAACUAAGAUCUUUGGGGGAAGAGAGAGAGAGAGAGAGAGAGAGAGAGAGAGAGAGAGAUCAAAAUCUGAAAAUUUCAACAAGUACUGAAGACACUACCUUAGACAAGUUUGAUCUAAAUUUCAGUUCCCUUGUGUCCUUGUUCCUACUAUAAGCAUAUGAACCAUAGUCAGUCCUAACAUGAUUUUCUUUACAACUAAGUCACAGCAGUAGCUAGGCUUCUAUGUAUGGGCUUAUUCCAGAGAGAACACAAAUCAGAAGUAUUGAUAAUAACAUGUAAAAUUUCAAGACAUGUCAAAGAUCAAUGACAGAAAUAAGAGUGUAAAGAAUCCCAAAUCCAUUGUUUUAUAAUAAUGAGCUGCAAAUCAGAAUAAAAACACAAUAUGAGAAAUUUUCCGGAAAUAGGUAGUAAGAAAGAAAAAUUCACCAACAAUUGACCUUUCAAUAUUUUCAUGUGAAAAUUCCCAGAAUCAAAAUAGACAAGCAAACCUACAAUGUCCCAAAAUUUCAAGUCGUUUGGAGUUUAAAUGCAUAGAGAUCCAAAGUGACUGAAAAUGCAGUUUCUGCAGAAAAUUCUGAAACACUGUGUAAGCUUCAAAAUAGCACAAGUUUCUCAUAUCAACUCCGUUUUGCUUGAAACCAAGUUUAAAACGAUCAUUGAAGAGUCUACUUUUAACUGUUAAAAACUGAGAUUGAAAGAAGAAGUUUAAGUUUUUUGAAAAUCUUGGAAAAGCCCACUGGUUCAGCUUGGUGGUGUCUUUGAGACAUACUAUCAAACAUGUGGUGUGCACUAUGUGAUCCUUGCUCUAUUUCUGUUCUAAGCAUUUUAAAGAACCUACCAAUACUAGCUAAUAGUCAAAAGUGCAUCCCAACAACAAUCUUGAACACAUAUACAUAUAAAUCUUAUUAGAGGAAGAAACGUAUUACCGAAAGAAAGUAAGUUCCAAUGCUGUUACAAAAUAGGAGGGAAGCUCACUGAUUCGUAGGCCCAAAAUCCUCUGAGUGAUCUAUCAAAGUAGAACUCAUGGAUUUAAAACAGGUUUAUAGAACAUGUAAGACAAGAAGAGACAUGGAGCUGAGCAAAUCAGAAUAAAAACACAUUUGGUUCCACAAUGAUAUAACACUAUUUUACAAACAACUAGUUAAAGUCACCAUCACAUACGCAGAUAUACAAAAAUCCAAUUCAAUCUCAGAAAAUUGAUUAUUAAAUUCCUAUAAGAUUUGAGUAUGACUCAGUGAUAUUUUUGUGCAGCAACCCCUUCUAUAUAUUUUCACAUAUAUUCCAGAUAAGAACGUACAUAUAACAAUAAGAGAUGACAAGUAAAUAUAUAGUUGAUGGAUAUCCAGACUACUUGUAAGAGAGAAAUUAUAUUCCUAUCGUGAUACUGGGAACUAAUACAUGAAUUUACAAAGCACAAAGGUAUUAAUAAGAACGAGUGUAUAAGCACUGGAACAAACCAAUAUUAGAUAUCGCAAUGAAAUAACAAUAAGUGGCAGUAGUAGCUAUGAACUCUUAAUUUUCAGAUUUUCACACAGAAAAUUGAUACAACUCCAUGAUCUCAAAACUCACCCAUUUUAGAUAAAACUUGAUUCUAUUGAAGGAGAAUAAAACCCUCUAUAGUAUAAUGUGAGCUUUAUACCCAGUUGAGGAGUUCAAGAACCAAAAACAAGUCCUUGAAUCCAACUUGUUUAAUACUGAAAUAGAAACAGCAAAAUGCCCAACUUCACAGCUCAAUAACUACCUUAAUACUCAGUCAAAUUAAGCAAAUAAUAUGUCGAUUAAUAAGUACUCGAAGUACCCAUCGAGUCUGAGCAAUCAACUACCAUCGAGUCUGAGCAAUCAACUAUGGGUUUAAGAACCAGUAAGGCAAUGCAAUUCUACUAAUAACAAAAAUUUCGACCCCAGCACUAAAGAAGCCAAUUCUAAUGAUACUAGAAUGAAUAGCUCAACAGCAAAACAAACGCUCAACAGGUGAAUUGACACAGUGAACAAAGAAUAUCAAAAUGAGUAUCAAGCAUAACACCAGAUAAUGAAAUUUUCAAAAGUUCUACUCACCUCAAACACCUUCUCCCAAGGCAAGCCUUCGACUUCUCUCCCUCUCUUCCAAAUCGCCAGAGCUCCAAUUGCUCCAUCCUCCUAAAAGCUAAUUCUUCAUUACUUUACCUCAUGUUCAAUUGUCCUCCACCUUCAAAACCUCCCACACAUCCCCACAAUUAGAACCCCCAAAAUUGCAAAUUUCCAAAAGAAAUAUAGGCUUUAGAGAUUGAAGAGUAAGGGAUUACAUUAUCGACCUCCAUGGAAACCAUACUCGAGCGGUGAAUGCAGGCACGAGAGAGAGAGGCUCUAAGAGUUCACAGAAUUGGAACUGAAGGCGGGCUCAGAAACCAAACUAAUGCAAAACACAGAAGAAUAUGAGAGUGGUCAGAAAUCGUACCAGAGGCGGCGAUGCUCAGACAGACAGUGGUAACACUACUAGAGAUGUAUCCUUUAAUGACACUUAUUUUAUGACGUUUCGGGAUAAAUGUCAUUAUAAGGGGUUUCCAUGACGUUUAAGGCAGCAAACGUCAUGGAUGUAAAACACGGAGCAAUUAUAUGACAUUUUAUAAACGUCAUGGUAAAACACUUACCAUGACGUUUAUUUUUCGUCAUCAAUAGGUUUCAAUGAUGGUUUCGGUCUGUCAUGCAUACUGUUUGGGCCAUGACAGUUUAUUACUGUCAUCAAAAGUUUUGGGAAAAAUUUUGACACUGUGCCCAAAAUUUGGCUUCGCGCCUGACCCAAAAUUUGGCCCUAAAAUUUUGAGUUACAGUUUGAGUUCGUUCAUUUUAGUUUUAACUCACUUGCCUAAAAUUUAUCUCACCCAAACUCGAUCUCAAACUUCACUUUCCAAUUUCUCUCUUGCAAAUCAGUCACCCAAACUCAAUCUCACACUCAAUCCGAAUCUCAUCCCAAACUCGAUCUCUCACCCAAAUCAGUCACCCCUCUCCCAAAUCACAUCCCCAAAUCUAACACCCCUCUCCCAAAAUCUCAUCCCCAAAUCUCAUCCAAAUCUGUCACACUGCUCUUCGCCCUAAUCCCAAUUGUUUGAGAGUAGAAAUAGCUUCUGGACAAGAAGAGAAACCCAAAGAACAAAAGAUAGAGAGAGGAAAAACCUUUUCAAUUUCGUUUUUGGCAAAGGUAGAUUUCAUACUUCCUAUAGCUUUAUUUCAAUUUGUUCUUGUUUUUAGUUUUUGAUUAUGAUUCUUUUGUUUAUUUAUGGUUGGUGAUUUCGAAUUCUCAGACUUGUAGAGAUAGGAAUCCAGUUCGAAUCAGUUGUGUUAGGUUCUAAUUAGAAUCGUUGUAGUUGUAGCUCAAGAACUAUGUUCUUGAGUUUGGGUGUCUAAAGUAGAUUUUGUGUAUCCUUUUGAUUUAACUGUUUGUUAUGUUUAAAAUGAUUUCGUGUCCUAGCAAUCUGUUCCUUCCAUUCUGAAGUUUUAGAACUUGUUUUGUACUUCAAAGGAUCGAAUUAAAACUUCCAAAAACCAAGUUUUAUUGUUGCUGGAAAUUUCCAGAAUUCUGCAGAAAAAGCUGAUUUUCUUGCCUACUUUGAGGCAUGAUAUCUUUCAGCUCAUGCCUUUGUUUUGGAAUCCGAAAGUAUCUUUGUAAAGCUCAUAUAUCUACCUAUGUGUGUACUAAAUUUCACAGGAUUUGGUUAAUAUUUGGUUUGUCAAAUUGCUUGCCAAAAACAGUAGCAGAUUCAGCUAAAAGCUGAAUUCGCUAUGCCAAAAACAGCAUCAGAUGACAAUGCUCUCGUCUGAAGAAAAAUUAUAUGUCGUCUGAGGCCCUGCCGUCUGAUCAUCAAUCAGACGACAGUUCUCCACCGUCGUCUGAGUAUUGAUCAGACGACAUAUGUUAUGUCGUCUGAAAUUUGACAAGUCUGGAAGGUUUCUGAACUUUAAGUCAUCUGCAUAAAAAUCCAACAACAUUUAAAUGUCGAAUGAAAGAAGAAAAAAUUAAUGAUUUGUCGAAUUAGAUGUAGUGUGAUACAACCAUACACUGCAUAUAAUCGUCGAGCUACAGAACCUACAACGACAAAUAUAUUCACAUGUUGACAAUUUAAUGUCGUCUGAUGUUAUUAAAGUUGGAAAAUUACUAGACUCUAUGUCGUCUCAAUGUAAAACCAACGAUACAUAUAUGUCGUCUAAUAAGGAACUUAUGUUGUCUUAUAGUUCGUUUAACUUCGCUUUUAUGUUGUAGGGUGUGAUAACUUAUGUCGUUUGAUUGUCUAUUGGACUUCAUAUUAUUAUUGCUUGUUAUAAAACUUAUGUUGUUUGAUUGUCUAUUGGACUUCACAAUUUCAUUGCUUGUUAUAAGCACUUAUGUUUCAUAUGUAACAAAAUUAAGAAUAGAACAAAGAAAGUAACAUUUUAUUGAAUGUUAGUAACCCAUUUCAAUUACAAAAUCAUUUGAAGCGUAAGAAUACAUUUUGAUCCUAAUCUACAUAUAACUACAUUCUUAUUCCUCUCCUUUACCAUGAGCCAAGUGAAUCCCCAAAACAGCAGCAAGAUGAGUCGUGUAAGAAUGCUGAGGCCUGAAAAAGAGGUUAAGAAUUAGAACAUGCAUGAUGCAAAGAACACAUAUCUAGAUAUACUUAUGAAAAGUAAAAAAAGCCACAAACCUGUGAGAAGGGAUACAGAACCCACAAGCUGUAAGUACCUACAAGUUAACUUCCACGCUUAGAAAACCUAAGAGAUUACAAGAGUAAAGCAUCCCUUAAUGCUAACUGAAAAUAAGAUUCUCAUAGUAGCACUAAGCUUUUAUCUGAAUUAUGAAACGUUUGAAAAUAAAAUCUUUGCAAAUAUAGUGAUAGACAUGCAUACCAAACGUACAAACGUGUUAAACGUACAAUGGAAUGAUUAUACAGCAGAAAAGUGAAACACUAUGGCCUUUCACUAGUGCUAGACCUAAAUCUUUUUGAACAGCUAUUAAGAAUCUUAAAACUGAAGGAAUCUGUCUAUUCAUUCCUUCCUUUAAUACAAAACAUAGACACAGAGUUCAAGUAUUUCCCAUCAAAACUCUAGUUUGAUUGAGGAAGAGUAUUGAUAUUUAAAUUCAUUGAGAGUACCAUAACAAACUUUUGGAUACGUAAUAUGCUAUUNNNNNNNNNNNNNNNNNNNNGGCCUCCAAAUACAAUGGUUAUGCCUUAUAUAUAACUUAUUAACAAACCAAGACCUACCCCAGCCUAGAAUUAAUAGUUUGUUUAUCUUCCGUUCAAGAUAGAAAUAGAACAAAGAUUCCAAAAUUCAGUAAACACAUCAAUUAAUCCUAAUGUAAACCCUAUCCAAUGAACACAUCAUCCUAAUGCAUCAAUGCAAUGCAUAUCCGUUUAUCAACAUGUAGUCCUCAUACUGAUUUCAUUAAGCCAAGCAGACCAACAUAGAAAAUAAUGCACUUUUAUGCAUAAUAACAUAAUGAUAUUUUCAGAAACAUCUCUAACCAGUGAAGACCCCUUACCUGGAAAUUCUGAUGUGCGACUCACAGCAAAUACCACUUGACCAACCUUCAGUUCCCUUGUAUCCUUGUUCCUAAUAUAAGCAUAAGCAGUACCUUAGUUAGUCAUAACAUCAAUCAAAGUCGCAUUUUCAAAGAAUCAGCUGUAGCUAGAGUUUCCAUGUGUGAGCUUGUUCCAAAAGAAAAGUAGUGAUCAGAUUAUAUAACAUAGAGACAAAGCUUUGUUAAAACAAAAUGGAGUUUUUCCUUGACCCUUUUUGGACUGAAAUACAAACUCAAAGCAUGAUUGCAUAUCUAAUUUAACUUGUUAAAGAUCGAAAACUGAUACAAAAGGUAAGAGCUCUCAAACCAAUUGUUUUGUAACAAUAAGCUGCAAACCUGAGAAAGUUUUAGGAAACAGGUAGUAAGAGAGAAAAAUUCAUUAACAAUGGACUUUUUAAUACUUUCAGCUGAAAAUCUCCAGAAUCAAAGUAGACAAGCAAAACCACAAUAUCCCAAAAUUUCAAGUCGUUUGGAGUUCAAAUACAUGGUCAAAUAGAGACCCAAAGUGACUGAAAAUGCAGUUUCUGUAGAAAAUUCUGAAACACUGGAUGAACUUUAAAAUAGCACAAGUUUCUCAAAUCAACUCCGUUUUGCUUGAAACCAAGUUUAAAAUGAUCAUUGAAGAGUCUAUUUUCAACUGUUAAAAACUGAGAUUGAACAAAGAAGUAUAGAUUUUUCGAAAAUCAUGGAAAACCCCACUGGUUCAGCUUUGUUGUGUCUGUGAGGCAUUCUAUCAAACAUGUGGUGUGCACUAUAUGAAACCCAAUCUAAAUCAGUUCUAAGCAUCUAAAUAGAGUUACCAAACCUAACGAUUAGUCAAAAGUGCAUCCCAUAACAACCUCAAACGUAUAUCAAUGAAAUUCGUGAUGAGUGGAAGAAUAUAUUACCAAAAGAAAGCAAAUUUGAUGUUGGGAGAAGCUCAGCGAAAUCCUGCAAACUUAGAUGAUUCAAGCUGCAAAAUUCACAAGUUCUGCAAAUAGAAUACGAAAAUUAGAGAAAUCAUUGUAAAUGGAGGAAGAGAUGGAAAACGGAAUACCUCUCCCCCAAUCUAGAAAAUUAGGGUUUUUGAAUCUACUCAAGCCGAGUCUACAUCGACGAGCUUGUGGCUGAUGGAGGCGAGAUAGGCUGAAGCUCGAAUCAGAAGGUGUAGAAUAUUUUCUGGGUUUUCAGAUUUUUGCUUCAACUUUGAGAGAGCCUAACUUUCUGUUCAGGGCUUUGUUUUCAAAACUCAAGCUAUGUACUUAAAGCUUGUAAUCUCAUCUUUACAAUAGGCUUUGGUUCAUAAACUUUUGUUGGAUUUGAGUGAGUGAAAAAUGAAGCCAAAAACAUCAUCUUACACACUGUUUUGACACAAUGCUGAUAAAUGAAACCUUGUUCUAACUCAGUCUUUUCUUUAACAGCUGAUUCCUAUGUUUUGCAGUAGCUCAUUAAACAACUUUUGAGUCUUAUUUUGUAUCUGGUUUAUAGUUUAGAGUUUCUUAUUUAUGUAUAUUACUUGCAACAUAGUACUAAAUCUAGUUUUUCAUUCUUUGUAUGUACUUUACCUUUUGGGUAAGGUUCUGGAGACGAUCUUGGCAAUCCACAAGUGUGAGAGGUGGCGUUGGAUCUUGAGUUUUGCUGUGCAAUCGAGGUAGGGUUUGAUGGGGUGUUUGUGUUAUUGUUAUUUAUCCUAUUACAUGGUUUGUUUGAUAUUGAAUUGUUGAUGACAUUGGAUGAUUUGUGAAAUUGGAUUAUUUGGUAUUGGAUUGUUUGACAUUGAAUUGUGUGGUAAUAUUCGAAUUAAAUGUGGAUGAUAUUGAGAUCUUGAAUUGAUUAUGAUAUGUUUAUAUUUGAAAGCAUGUGUUCUUAAGUGGAAUCUAUAUUAUUACAUGACGUUAUUAUAUUAAAACUUAUAGACCUAUCAAAUAAAACUUAUAAAUAAAACUAUAAUACCUAUCAAAUAAAACUAUAAACUAUAAUACAAGUUUAAGCUUAAGCUUCACUGAUUCAGUGUUUAUUUGUUUGGUGUUUUAUUUAAUUGGCAGCUCUAAAUGCUUGUUAUUAGGAUGUUAAUAGAGUUAUUGUUGCUGUUUUAAUUUGAUUUGUGUUUUGCGCAUCCGUAUAACAUGUAGCUGUUUGGAUUUGUAAAUUUUGGUAGGUGUAAUGCAAUUAUAAUUUAGCAUGAAUAAGAGCUGGAUAUCUUGGGAUCCAAAUAGUUCCCAGUACCAAGAAAAGGUUAAAGAUUUUAUUGAAAACUCUAAGAAGUUUGCAAGGAAUCCUGACAGGGUCAUCUGUCCUUGCUUAAUCUGCCGAAACCAUAGUCCACGAAAUGAUGAAACGAUAUUGUUUCAUUUGACCAAAUAUGGGUUUGAUCCGACAUAUAAGGUCUGGGUCGCUCAUGGUGAGCCAAAUUUAUUAGGAAGAUGUGCAAAAGUUGAUGAGUUUGCAAAAUCAACUGAUAUUUAUGAGGAUACUGAAAUGCUUGAAGUGCAUCAGAUGUAUGAAGAUGUUUGUUUUCGGUUACCAGUUGAAGGUGAAUCCCCUAGUUUAAUGAAUGUAGAUGAUAGGUAUCAGAAAAAGAUUUCAGACGCUAAAGUUCCUCUACACCCUGGUUGUACAAAGUACUCAAAACUUUCAGCCACCUUAAUUAUGUAUACGUUGAAAGCUGAAUCUGGUCUAUCUAAUUCUGGCUUUGAUAAGUUAAUGAGUGUGUGUGAAGAUAUGCUACCAGAGGCAAAUACUUUCCCCGAGUCACUGUCCACAGUCAAGAAAACACUUAAAGAUUUUGAUUUAGGGUAUGAGAAGAUAGAUGCAUGUGUCAAUGAUUGUAUCUUGUUUAGGGGAAAGGACUAUGAGAACUUACAAUGACAAGACCCGCCCCAAAUUUCACCCUGAAACCCGGAGUAAGUCGUGCGGGGACCACCUCCAAGGAAAAUUUUACCGAAAAGAUUGGUAAAACCUCUCUUGAAAAUGGACAACCUUAACUCGAAAAUUUCAAAUUUACACUCUUACUACAACACGUCCAAACUUCACAUAAAUAUCCAGCUAAUAAAAGUAAACAUUAUCGUUCAGAGAUUCUAAACAUCAAAUCAACAGGCCGAGCACACCACCGAAAUAAUAUACAACAAUAUCAAAGUAUCCAGAGCUACUAGACUCUAGCGGAAGCAAGAAAACACGAGUAGGUUGAACAGGUAACCUACUAAGGAAAACUGGCGGAAAAACGGGUGACUAUGCGUCGUCUCCUACUAGAUCCAACCCGAACUCUGCAGACUGGGCAUUUUAAAACAAAAGGCCCAGGGGAAAAACCUUUAAUAACGUUAGAGUGAGUGGACAAAAAUAAAUUAAUAAGAAAAAUAUUUAUGUUUCCCCAAAUCCAUUUCUAAGGAAAAAAUCGAAUGCAUGCCGCAAGCGAUAAAACUUUUAUCUCAUAAAAUAUCGAGCCUCUCAGACUCUAUAAUAUAUGUAUGUAUUUACACACGUCCAUACUCCCUAUAUAAAUUCAUGGGUCUAUAUAGGGCUACUACGCUCGCGUCCAACGCUCACGUCACGCCUUAAUGCGGUGCUACACUACGCCAUUAAGGUGGACAGACGGGUGUAUAAAUAUGUGUCCAUACCCCCUAUGUGAAUUAAACACUCAUAUAAGGCUACUACGCUCACGUCCAACGCUCACGUCACACCAUAAUGCGGCUAUAUGCUACGCCAUUAAGGUGGACAGACACAUAUGGCUAACUAGCAUUUAUAUACAUACUCUCCUCAUAAAUACAUAUUUAUAUCCACCGAAAAUCCCAUUUUCGGUAACUCUCCAAGAGAAAUAAAAAUCGUCAAAUUAAAAUGAUGUCAAAAUAUUCCGCAACAUUUAUUGUUCAACCAUGAACUAUAGCAUGCAUUUAUUUAAAAUAAACGUCCACUCACAAAUUUGGCCUAAGUCUGAUGUCGAUCUGGGGCCUCGUCUGCUCGAGCCUCCUCACGUCCUGUUCCAAAGAUAAUAUUAAUUUCCCACUAAAAUUCCAAUAAUUAAACAAAAUGGGCAAAAUUAAACGUGAGCCUCCCACACACCCAUCAUUGCCCAUCUACGCCAUUCUUAACUCAAAAUGGCUCAACCUUCACCGAACAUACCGCAGCCGUAAAUACAACCUCCCCCAAAAUACGACUUAAAUCCUACGGCCGGAUUCUACAUUAUUUAACCGCCAAAAAUACCACACUUCGGAAAUUCAUAAACCUAUCCAAAACUCAUCCAAAAAUUCCAUAACUCACUUCAAUAAACUCCCCUUAAUAUUCCAAAUUUAACAACAUUAAAAAUCUCCCAAACAGCUCUGGCGUCGGCGGCCGGAGGCCGAUUCCGGCGACCUCCAAAUUCUAUGAAAAUUUGACAGCAUAAUCCUCUUAUCAUGCUCUACAACUUCUCUAACUAGCACAAACCCAAAAUCUAAGCCUAGCUAGGGUAAUCGACUAAAAACAUCCUAAAAGCCCUAGAAAUUUCAACUCCACAUUUCUCCUUACCUAGCUCAAGAGAGAGUGAGCUUUUAUAAGGAGGGGUUGCUGCACGGGAGGAGGGCUACAAAACGAGCUAAGGAUCGUCGGCUGUGGUGGCCGGAGGAGGGAGUUCCGGCGACGUGAAGCUUUGGACAGUCGAACCUUUCGGGGGAGAGCGCUCCUUCAUGGCGGAGCUAGGGCGGCUGUCACCGGUCCAGGGAGGUAGCUGGGUCGGAGGCCGUCAGUUUUCGACCGGAGCGACGGCAGAUGGUGGUCGGACGGCGGCAGGAGGACGGCCAGAAAACCGGACAGCGGGAGGAAGAAUUCAGGGGAAGGAAAAUCGGGAGAAGAGAGAGAAGUGAGUGUGUGGGUGUUGGGCCUCUCCCACACCCGGUCCAAACUCAUAUAAAUCAACCCACUCCAAAAUAAAACACUCCGAAAAAAUAAUACCCUAAUAAAAAUUACCUUUUACUAGCUAAAAUUUACCAUUUUUACCGUUGUCGUAUUUUCCUCCUACGAAUAAUCCUCCGCACAUAAUCGUCCCCAAAACCCCUCUAGGGACCAAUUAAACUAUUAACUCAAUGACGGAGACGGUAAAAUUCUUAUUAUAAUCAAGCUAGUAAAUAAGGUAAAAAUUUAAGGGUCGGGAUGUGACAUACAAAAAUGUCCUGAAUGUGAUGCUCCGAGGUAUAAAGUAAACCCACAUACUGGCAAGAUAAAAGAAGGAGUUGGUGCAAAAGUAUUACGCUACUUUCCUAUAAUUCCAAGACUUCAACGGAUGUUUCUUUCAGCAUCUGUAUGUGAGCAAUUAACAUGGCAUUCUAGUCAUCACAGUCAAGAUGGCAAGACGCGUCAUCCUGUGGACUUAGUUUGUUGGAGUUCCAUAGAUAAAAAAUACCCUACUUUUGCAUCUGAUCCGAGGAAUCUGAGAUUUGGACUUGCAACUGAUGGUGUCAACCCGUUCAGUAAUCUUAGCUCCACACAUAGUCUUUGGCCAGUUAUCCUAGUCAUCUAUAAUCUUCCACCAAAUGUGUGCAUGUCUUCUGAAAAUUUAAUGCUAAGCUUACUCAUUCCAGGCCCUAAACAACUUGGAAAUGACAUUGAUGUAUACUUGCAGCCCCUUAUAGAUGACUUAAAACUGCUGUGGGAUGGUGUUGAUAUAUAUGAUGCCUAUUCUAAAGUCAUGUUUAACCUCAGAGGUAUCCUAAUGUGGACUAUUAAUGAUUUCCCGGCUUAUGGGAAUUUAUCUGGGUUAACCAAUAAAGGAGAAUUUGCUUGUCCUGUUUGUGGUCCUGAAACUUGCUCUUACUAGCUACCACUUGCUCGUAAGACUAUUUACAUGGAUCAUAGAAGAUUUCUGUCAGCAAACCAUGUCUUUCGUAGAAAAAAUAAGUGGUUCAAUGGAAGAAAGGAGAGAAGGGUGAGGCCUAAAAUAUUUACAGGAAGAGCUACAAUCUGUGCUUUAGCUGGGUUCUCAAAUAAGUGGGGGAAAAAACAAAAGAAACUGAAGAAACUUAAAAAAGGAGAUCCAGCCAAGUUAUUAAAAAAGAAGUCCUUAUUUUUUGAAUUGCCGUAUUGGAAGGUCAGUAUUAUAUUCUUACUGUUAUAUACUACUUUAAAUUAAUAGGAUUGUGAUGGGGAAUUAUAAGUUUGAUAUGUAUUUUGUUUGCUAAAUUUAUACAGGAAUUGCUUGUGCGACAUAAUUUGGAUGUCAUGCACAUUGAAAAAAAAGUGUGUGAGAGUGUUUUAGAUACAAUCUUAGAUGUGAAGGAAAAAUCAAAAAUUGGGGCAGCUUCACGUAGAGAUCUAGAGUUACAAGAAUUAAUGGAAGAUGUUCCAGAAGUAGCAAGAGAAGAUAAGCUGGAUUCUUCUGGACCUUACACCUUUACAAAGUCUGAGAUGGCAAAAUUUGUUUGGAGGUUGUGGAUGCAAAGGUUUCCUGAUGGAUAUUGCUCCAAUAUUGGAAACUGCAUCAAGAUUAAAGAGAGCAAAAUUCUAGGGUUGAAGUCCCAUGAUCAUCAUGUCUUGAUGCAGCAACUUUUAUCUGUUGCUGUUAAGGGGCUUUUACCUGAAGGUGUUUGAAAACCAAGUCAACUAUAAUAACCAACCACAACUCCUGGAGUCCUUCACUCCCCACAACAAAAACCAAGUCAUAGCAGUAAUUAAACAACCCAAACCAAGUAUUCAAUGGCAUUACUUAAACAUGAACAUCAACCAAGAUUAAACUCUCUCUACGUGGGUCAUAGACCUAAGUGAAAAGUAAACACUUUAACUUAAUACACAUAAUCCCAUGGUCAUCAGAGCUCUACAAGAAGGAAAUAUAACACUACACAUAGGUUAACAGGUAACCUACGAUCAACAAGGUGCAGCGGGAAAACUAUGCCUCAACUCCUAGUGAAACCGAACAGGAGCUCUGCAAUCUGGGCAUUUGAAAACAAAGGGCCCAAGGAAAAGCAUUUAAAAACGUUAGCGUGAGUGGACGAAAAACAAACUAAUUAAAUAAGUAUCCAAGAGCAUAAUGAUACUAAAUCAAAAUUUUAUAUGCUUUUCCAUUUAUACGGAAACCAAGAAUUUUCAUGCAUGCAGAUAUUAUAAACUCAACCAAAAUUCCCACUAGCCCCGCUAGUCGUAAAACAAUAAGAAAAAUAAAUAGAUUUCUCGUAUAAAAAAAAACUUCCAAAAAUAAUGGACUAGCCCCGCUAGUCAAUUUAACAACUCAAAUAGAAUAUUAAAUAUGGCCAUAUAAGUGAGUCUCCCAGACUCGGUUGCCUCCCAGGCAUAGUACUCCCAUACUCCCUGUACCUUCACGUCGAGUUGACGGAUAGGGCACAGGGCUUGCGUGAUGCCGCCGGCAACAUCACAUCACCACCAAGGUGGAAAGGGCUUGCGUGACCCCACUUGAAACAUGGCUGUCACAUCACCUCGAAAGGUGGAACGACAUGCUAGCAUUGACAUCAUAUAUAUUCCAAGAAUAUGGCAUAAGGAAAAUAUAAAUCAUAUGAGUUUCCCCGAAACUCAUAAAUAAAAUAUAAGUACGAUUCCCAACCGUACUUGGAAAAAUUCUAAGAGCAAUAUAGUUAAUUAAAUUCAACGUGUCUCACACGUUAACAUGCUUAAAAUAGAAUAACUCAAAUCAUUUUCAAGAUCCCUUCAUAGAAGAAAUAAUAAUAUCAACUUAGAAAAUUAGUGAUGAUUUUCUAAACAAAUCAUGCAUGCAUACUCCUUUAAAAAUAAAAUGUCCACUCACAGUAUAGACGGCUAAGCCUGACGUCGGUCAGAGCCCUCCUCACUUGGUGUCUCCUCUCGUCCUGUACAAAAUGAGAUUUAAGGUCCGAGACAAAAAUAAUACAAGAAUAUCAAAGUAACAAAAUAGGGCAAUGUCAUCUACCCUCACUCUACACUCUCCAAAAACUAAGGAGAACUCCAACCAUUUUUACUAACCUUCUCCAAUUUUUCCUCAACGUUCUAACACUUAAGCACAAAUAUGGAAAUUCCCAAGGAUGAGGCUCACCUCUACUCUUCCACCAAAAUUAACUUAAAUUUUUUCUAAAUUCCUACCAACAUAUACCAUAAUUUUUAAUACUUCAAUACACUCCUUUUUCCUCCAUGGAACAACCAAAACUAUCCCAAAUUCCAAGCACCUAUCACCAAAAAUCCUUCUACACUUUAACAACUUUAUACCCUUCUAGAAAUUCAAACAAAACUCUUCACAACCACCACCACAAACGGCAGCAACCACCAGUAGUGGCGGUCAACUGCCGGCAGUGGCAGUCAACCACCAUCUCUCCCACAAUUCCGAGCAAAANNNNNNNNNNNNNNNNNNNNNNNNNNNNNNNNNNNNNNNNNNNNNNNNNNNNNNNNNNNNNNNNNNNNNNNNNNNNNNNNNNNNNNNNNNNNNNNNNNNNNNNNNNNNNNNNNNNNNNNNNNNNNNNNNNNNNNNNNNNNNNNNNNNNNNNNNNNNNNNNNNNNNNNNNNNNNNNNNNNNNNNNNNNNNNNNNNNNNNNNNNNNNNNNNNNNNNNNNNNNNNNNNNNNNNNNNNNNNNNNNNNNNNCCAAUCGAUCUCCUACCUUUAGGGGAAAGAAUAACCAGCAAGAGGGCAUCAAAACCCUACCUUUAAUUUCCCGAUUGGUGGCCGGAGGAAGGAAUUCCGACAAGAAAAAGAAACGGUGACGCAGCUUCUUCUAGGGCCUCCGGCGCCCUAACGCCGGCGAGAUGGGGUCAGCUGCUACCCUAGGAAGGUCGACCGAGGUCCCAGCUGCUGAACGGGACCGGCGCGGAAGUUUGGUGUGACCGGACGGCGGCGGUCCUCCAAGGUGAACCGGACGGGUCGGGGUCGGGCUCGGCUCGGGGAGAGAGAGAAGUGGAGAGGGUUGUAUUUUCUGAUUUUGACUUUUUCCCUUCCUAAAUGGUAAGUCUCCCUUAAAUGCCUAAGCCCAAAAAUGGAUACUGUUAUUAUUUAACUACCCUUGAUUCACGAACUCUUAACCGGGUAACUAAAAUUCUAUGAACUCGACUAAAGCACCUCUAUUAAGAAUAACAUAAUAAAUUUCCGAAUUGAUUAGCUACCAAUAAACCGGAAAUCACAAUAUAAAAUUAAUUACUAGGUUCGGGGUGUAUCAAUAGUAGGCAUGAUCUAAGUUAAACAAACAUCAUAAACACAUAAAUAACUCAAUCAUAUAAAUCUGAAAAUUUCAUGCAAUAACUAAAUCUCAAUAAAAGUCCACCUCCAAUGCAUAAAAUCAUCUAAGGGAAUUCGACAAUAACAAAUAUAAAACCUAAAAACAAGAGUUUGAACCAUAGAUUACACUUUUUGAUCUCAAGAACACUUGACGAACAACAAGGGAUAGUCUUGGCACAAAGAAGAGUAACACUAUGCUUUUGGAGAAGUCCUAGAGCAUGGCAAGGAGGAUGAUUUUCUGAAUUGGGAAAGAUCCUUGGAGAGGCAGAGCUACGACAGAGAGGACUAAAUUUCAUGUACAAGAAGAGAUAUCUUUUGCAUCUCCCACUUCUCCUAUAUAUAUGAGCAGCUGUUAUUAGGGUUAGAGAACCCUAAUUUUCGUCCAUGGGCUUGCCUAUGCGGUCUGGGCCUUGAAAUAAAUUUUUUGGUACAAAUCAUAAAUUCGGGCAGACUGACCUUCGGCCACUCAAACAGUCAUAACUUCUUCUCCGAAAUAGCUAUUGAUGAUCCGUGAAAAGUUUUGGAAACUAGACUCUUCUAGCUUUCCGUUGAAAUAAAGUUCAUCUCAUGGAUCGUUGUGAGCUGAUCACAAUCCUCUGUCGAAGUUGACUGACAAUUCCUGGCAGAUUUCUGAUUUCUUUCCUUGUGCCAAAUAGAUUCCUUUUCCUUCAAGAUCUCUCCUCUUUUGCUUCUUUUGUGAUCCUCGGCUUUAUUUGGGACCUAAAAACACAAACUAAGUUAAAAUGAAUAUUGUUAAAAGGAAUUACAUAGCUAAAUAGGGUCAGAAAUACAUUAAGAACGUUGCAUAAAAUGCACCUAUCAGGAGUGUUGGGAGUAGAGGAUAUCCCUGUAGUAAGAGAGUUUCCGGAUGUUUUUCCCGAGGAGUUCGCCUGGUUUGCCUUGGCAAGGGAGAUAGACUUUUCUAUUGAGUUACUUCCUGGAACUACGCUUAUCUCAUAGCACCUUACUGUCACAUCCCGACUCUUCAAUUUUUACCUUAUUUACUAGCUCGGUAAUAAUAAGAGUUUUACCGUCUUCGUCAAUGAGUUUAUAGUUUAAAUAGUCCCUAGAGGGGUUUUGAGGGACGAUUAUUUCGGAGGAAAUAUUCGUAGGAGGAAAUUGUGACGAUGGUAAAAAUGGUAAAUUUUAGCUAGUAAAAGGUAAUUUUUAUUGGCGUAUUAUGUUUGGGGUGUCUUAUUUGUGGAGUUGGGUUUAUUGGACCGGUUGAGAGUAGAAGCCAGACCAUUUCUCUCUCUUUCUUCUCUUCUCCCUCUCGACUCUCUCCCUCUCCCGCUGCCAGACUUUUCGGCCGCCAUCCGCCGCCGUCCGGCCGAGAUAGGAGGCGUGCUUGGUAUCAAUUUGAAGCUGGGAGCAUCCUCUACAAGUAUAGGUAGGUGGCAUCCGGUGUCGCACCACCAUGAGGGAGCACGAUCGCUGGGAAGGUGCGGCUGUGCCGCGGAGGUGUUCUCGUUGGAACUCCUUUUACCGGCCAUCAAAAUCGAAGCUGCCGGUCUCUUCUUGAAGCUCUCCCUUCCAGCAAUAAACCCCUAAAAGGAUACAUCCUAACUCGAGCUAGGUAAGGAGAAUCAGGUGUUUGAAUUUUCCUAAGGUUUUCUUGAUAUAUUUGGCUUUGAUUACCCUAUUUAGGCUUCAAAUUGGACUUAGUGAUAGUUAUGAAAGUUGUUUGGGAUGUUGAGAGGAAGAUGCUGUUAAAAUUUGGUAGCCAUUGGGAGUCGCCGAAGUCGGCCGCCACUGCCGGCGGAGCAGACGGCGGCGCCACCGCUAUGAGGGGGCUUUUCAAGGUUUUAAAUGUGUAAUAUUAAGGGGAGUUUAAUGGUAUGAAGUUUAGAAUUUUUGGAGGAGUUUUGGAUAGGUUUGAGAUUUUUGAAAGAUUGGUGAAUUUGGCGGUUAAUAGGGUUGAAUCCGACCGUUGGUUGGAGUUUGGCGUUAAUUCGAUAAGGUUAACCCUAGAAAGGGUAGUGGAUUAGGCGGAAGAGUUUUGGGUUAAUAUUUAAGUAUUAUUUAUUCUGAAAUUGAAGUGUGGUCCUAAGCAUGGUUUUUGUGCCAGGAUUUGAGGAGACCUCACUUGAGUGGUGAAUUGGAUUUCGUCGGGCUUAUGUCUAAAGUUGUGAGUGGACUUUUGUUUUAAAAUAUAUGCUUGCGGUGAUUCUAUAUUAAAUGAUUGAUUUUAUUGAAUAUCAAUUUGUGGAAUUGUUUAUUUUCGCGAAGUCAUUUUCAAAAGUAAAUGUUCUCAUUUUUAAUGGCUAUCGUGUUAUUUGGAAAGUUACCGAAAUUGAGAUUUUCGGUGGAGUUGUGUGCAUAUUGCUUUUUAUGAUAAUUGGCAAUUUUCAUUAUUUUUGGAGAGUUACCGAAAAUGAGAUUUUCGGUGGAUAUGUAUAUGGAUAUUAUGAGAAUAGUAUGUAUACAAAUAAAUGCUAGCUAGCUAUACAUGCUUUUCCAUCAUAAUAAGGUAAAAAUUUCAUUGUGGCACGAUGUGAGCGUUAGACGCAAUCGUCGUAGCCCUAUAUAAAUUUAGUAUGCACGUAUAUAUAUAUACACUCGUGCUUUUCUGUCAUAAUGAGGUAAAGUUUCAUUAUGGCGCGAAGUGAGCGUUAGACGUAAACGUCAUAGCCUUGUGUGAAUUUUUAUUUCUCUUAUUCCUUCAUAAGAUUCAUACAAGGGAUAUGACGAGUGUAAUACAUACAUAUUUUAUUUUAGCCUGAGAGGCUUCAUUUUAUUAAAUUUGGAGACUAGCCGGAGCUAGUCAUGUAAUUGUCAAUUGAUGAGUUGAGAGCUUUUGAGCUGUCGCAUGCAGCAUAUUUUCUAUGAAAAUUAAAUUGGGAAUGCAUAAAUAUUUUUAUUGAAUUUAUUUUUGUCCACUCACUUUAACGUUUGUAAAUGUUUUCCCCUGGGCUCUUCGUUUUAAAAAUGCCCAGUUUGCAGGAUUGCAUAGAUGAGGUCGGGCGUACAUGGAGAUGAGGCAUAGUCAAUAGAAUAGCUUCCGCUCAUAUAUAUAUAUAUUUCUAGUUCUUUUCUUCUCUAAUAGAAUUGCUCUUAACCUGUGAUUGUUGGUUGUGAGUUUUUCUUAUUAAAGUGAGUAAAUAAAUUAGGAGAUGUUGUAAUUUAGGGAGCACGAAGGCUCCAGGAGUUUAAGGUUGGAUUUGGAUUUUUAGAAGUGUUUGCAGGUAUUUUUUUUAGGAAGGGUUGUCCAUUUUCAAGGGAGGUUAUGCCGAAUUUUCGGUAAACUUCCUUGGAGGUGGUCCCCGCAGGAUUUACUUCGGGUUUCAGGGUGGAAUUCGGGGUUGGUCUUGACAGUUGGUAUCAGAGCACUAGGUUAUUCGAUUCCUUUCUCUUUUUAGUACUACCUCAUAUUCUUGGUCAUACUUAGUGUCUAUAGAGUGAUGGUCCGACCGCGGCAGAUCUAUUAGCAUUAUAUGGUUUAGACACUAUGUGUUGAUUAAGUUUGUGAUGUAGUUGUUCUUAUCUUAUUUUUGGACAUUGUUGUGCCAUAAAUGUUCAUAUCUUCAAGACUAUGCCUCCGUACGCCGACCUCUUAAGUAAUCAUCAUGCUUUGAAUAAGGAAAGAGGUUUUUGGUUGACGCCUUGUCCAAGGGUUAUUGAGUUGAUAUCUUAAAGUGUUAGAGUUCAAUUGCGAGUUGGGUGACGCGCUCGAAACCGGGCGCGUAAUUUAAAAACCCUUUUGUUAUCAGUAUGUAGUAUUGGCAAAUAGGGUUCGAUCAAUCCGGGGACUUAAAGGGCGCUCCUGCAGUCAUGGUUAAUGAAUCAGUAACUAUAUGUAUUUACAAGUAUUCAGUUACAAAUAUACAAAUGGUACAAUAGAUAAAAAAGGGGGAUUUUAGGAUUUUGUUCUACGUUCCUACUAAAACAGAAAAUAAAAAUAUUAUAUACAAGUGAUCGACUUCAAACUCACACAAACAUAUAAAAUCAUGUAAACAGGUUGUUUCAAGAUAUACAACUUAAAAAUCAUGCCAAUCAAGUAUUAUGAAACGAAUCCAGAAUUACACGCCUCAGCGGUCAUGCAACCUAUAAUAUCUUCUUAAGUAUCCUAUGUUUGCCUCAGCGGUUUAACACAGCAAAUUCCAUGCAAUAUGUCAUGUUAUUACUCAGCGCAACCAUACAACAUAUAACAUGAAUCAUUAAGAACAAAGAAGAAUUCGAACACAUAAACAUGUUUAUCUCAGCACUUAAACAAGUCUACAUGCAACUCGUGAUCAAAACCCGACCCAUUCUCAUGAAUCUAAGUUUUCGCCACUUAUUCAAUCUGUGUUUGCCUCAGCGGUUUAACACAGAUCAAUAGCACUACCAACCCUGCAGAAGUCAGCAAUUUAAAUAACCAGAUCACAAGUUUUCAAUAACAAGAAUGACAUGACGAUCAGUUAUGCAAAUCUCAUAAACAACUUAAGAACAUGACUUUGUAAAUCUGAAAAUUAAUAUAACCAUAUUCUCAACAUCAAUCUCAAUCCAAAAUGCAGGAAUUCUAAGAAUCUAACAAAAGAAAAUACUACAGAACAGAGAGAGAUCGAUUGAGGCAUUGUUACACUUUUUAUUCUCCACAGUGACUUUCUGAAGAACACCAAGAUAGAGCAAGCUUCAAUGGAUGGAGGCUCUGCUGUCUUGGAACGAAAAUGCUGAAGAGGAGGCUAUUGUGAAGUUAGGGCAGGUGUUUGUGCGUGAGAAGUGAUGCUGAAAACGUUCCUCUCUGCUCCUUUAUAUAGUGAUCAUGACGACAUAGAGUUUUACUCCACACCAUUGAUUAAAAUCCGAUCCAAGGGCCACAGAUAAUAGCACAAUAUUUUCAGAGAAUAUUCCUUAGAAUUCUCUAGAAUAUCUUGCACAUUAAGAGUUUGAAUUCGGCUGGAAUUGUGGCUGAAUACAUUGCUUGUUUUUCAAAUUGAAAUCAGCUUGAAUCUCUCCUUGUUAAUUGCCGAUUUGCUGCUGAUAAUUCUUCCCAUAUUUGUGUCAUUUAAUGUCCCUAGAAAAGGAAUAUAAAUCAGACAUAAACUCUAGGAAUAUUAGGAAUUUAUAUGGAGAAAUAAAAGGUAAGAAUUUCCCUUAAUUUCCUUGAUGUUUGCUGCAUUAUCUCCAUAUAAAUUCGGCUGGAAACCCUAAAAAGAUGGUGCCAUUCUCCUCCUUUUAUGUGAUAGAAUUUCGGCCUAAUCCAUGUAGGAUUUGGUUUCCUUGCUUCAUGUGGAAUCCCUGUCUCAAGAGGAAAGAAAGUUUCCAAAAGAAUUCAGGAAAGUCAAAAUAGGAAAGAUUCAAAGUUAGUAAGUUUCCCCAAUCAAAAUAGGAAAGUUUCCCAAUAAUGAAAUAGGAUAGUUUCUCCUUAUCAAAACAGGAAAAUUUCCUAAACGACUUAUCCUUCUUAAUAAACCGGUUUUAACUUCCUUUUUCACUUUUCCGCUCUUUUAUCUUUACAAUCACAAAACAUGUUUAAAAUGACAAAGUUAAGAGAAUAACAUAACUAAAUAAGGUAGGAAAUACGUUAACAUCGUAGCACUUUGUGCUCCUAUCAUUGGGAACUCCAGUUGGGAACUCCAGUUGGGAACUCAGAAGCUUGAUAGCAUUCCUUUCAUGUAUUCAAUGAUUGUGGGGUUAUGAAUAAGAUGCUAGGGUGAGCAUCUCGUGCGAAUCUGUAGUGGGUGAAACGUUUGAUUCGAUGCAUGACUUGGAGUUCCUAUUUAUAGUGGGCAAGUGUGGAGUUGUUGUAGUCCGAUAGAAAAUCUUGGCUUCGAGUUACGUGAUUUCUGGGAGAAAAUAGUUAGAAAGAAAGUCCGAAAUAGUGGUGUAUUAUUUUGUGGUAAGGGUUGGUUGAAGUGAUGUGGGAGGUACCCAUAGUAAUUCUAAGGUGUACCUUUACGAGUUGUUGAGGACCCUAAUCCUGAGCGAAUUAGUCACAUGGGAUUUGUGAUUAGUAUAGGGUUGCAGGAAGUUGCUACAUAAAAAGCUAAACGUCAAUUUAGAUAAGUCAUGAUUGAAGGCCAAUUUGUCGACUAUUUUUAUCCGCAACAGAAAGCAGUUGGGAACAUUUUGGGAUAAUGCUAGUUAUGUCAGCACCUAUUCUGGUUCCUACACUCUAAUUAUGGAUAAGUUUUUUUUAUCUUUUGAGCAAUUUAUUAAGAUGGUGGUGGUAAUAUCUUUUGGAAAUGUCGGAUAAUAGUAGUCGAUGAAUAUUAAGAUUUUUGAUGAUUUUGGUCUCUAUUGUGGGUUAGUUGAAGUUUGUUAAAGCACUAUGUGUAAUGACUUGGAUUGUUUUUCCUUGGAUUGGUUUUUUUUCAAAAGUCAUUGGUCAGUGCGUUGUGACAACUUCUUGUUAUGCCACAGUCGGGAAAUUUUAGAAAUUGAAUGGUGGCACUAAAUGUUUUGAGUUUCAAGCAAGUUUGGAACCGUGGAGUGAGAUGUCAGUUGUAUUAUUUUAAUCGUGGGGCCAUUAUGGAUUCUUUUAUAAUUCUAGGUGUUGAAGUUUGGUCUCCAGAUUUGUGGAGUGUUUUGGGAAGAUGAUAAAUUUAAAUGGAAUUGAAAAGUAAUGGUGGAGUGAGGGCAAGAUGGUUGUGGUCACUCCAGUUUUACGACAACACCUGGUGAAUUUAUUACGUGUUGUUAUGGGUAUUCCAUAGCAGUUGUGUGGUAGCAGUGGAAUAAAGCCCACUAGAUCGUGGAGCAAGAGUGCAUGGGUGUCCAAAGUAAUUUUCUUUUUUAAGCAGUGUUGUUCCGGGUAGUUGAGAUAAGUCUUGAAUUUGUGAUCGAAGUUGGUUUAUUGACAUCACUUCGUUAGCACUUGGUGACUAGCUCCGACACAUCACUAGGAGGAUCUGUUCACUCACCUUAUUUCUAAUUCGGUGAGAUGGAGCAGAGUUUUUUGUUGUGGUGUGUGUGGGAAUAUAUAAAUUAUUCCUACUGUAGUUUUUGGGUAGCAUCCUCAGAGCUUGAAAUUAUGGAAUGCGAAUUCAAUGUUACGAUUUGAAGGUUAGAGAUUCUGGUUUUUUUGUCGAAGUUUUGAGGUAAAUGAUAAAUUGGUAGUUGUGUCGUAGUCAUGGAUCUGGAAUAAAUCCAAUGGUGAUCCCAAGUGAGCUGGAGUUCAUUUAAGCGAGGAAUCUUGGUGCCGUAAAUCCUGUGUGGUAGUUUGAGAGUUGCAUGGUGAUGUUGAUUAGAUGGUUUGUGUCGUUGUAAGUAUAUUUCAUGAUGUAGCAUUAUGGGAGAGGGUUUUCCCCUGUUGACUCAAGAAGCGUCUAGAGUCAGUUUAUUAAGAGUUUUAAUAUUGAGAGUAGUAGAUAUUGAUAGGUUGAUCAACGUCUCUUCUCGGGAUCGUAUUGUGGUGGGACCACUCAUUAAUCCAAGUUUGAUUUGGGAGGUCUUCGCUAUUUGGUUGUGCGUUCAUCCGUUGGUGUCAGGAUGAUUAGUUGAGGUUUCUAGUGCAAUUUCGGAACAGGUUCUGGCGGAUAUCAGAGAAUUGUGGAGCUUUUGAGCUCGAAGUUAGAGGACUUGCCUUUCGUGUGCUUUAACUUAUUUCUUCUAGAACUUGAGCUGAGUUUAGCCAUGAGUUUUGAUUCUUACUUGAAUUCAUAGUUUUCGUUGGAUGGUGAACCAUAAAGUGUAGUAGUGGGCCUGUUACAGAAAUUAAUUUUUUUAUAUACGAUGGUUAACUUGUUGUUGCAAGCUCGGUUAUCGGAGAAUCUUUUUGGUGGGAAGCCGUGGGCCUAGAAAGUGUAGGAGAUUUGAGCAUACCUGAUUUCCGAUCGUAUUCUGCUAUCAAAUUAAUUGUUAUUAGAGAUAGAAAAAGAAGUGUGUUUGUCGGGUCCAAAGGUUUUGGCAUUUAGAAUCAUUCUUGUGGAAUGGCUAGAGUGAGCCGUGUGUUUUUAAUUGUUGCACUUGGGGUCGCGGUUGCACCUGAAUAAGUAGCAUGGCUGGACAUGUAAUUUUUGUUAAUGUUUAAGGAAGGUGUUCUAUUUAUGUGGAUUUCAAUGUCAAGUUUAGCAUCAUGAAUUGAUUGUGCCAAUUUUCGUGGGCAUUAUUAGUCAGUUUUUGCUUAUGGCGAGCAAGGAGGAAUAUCCAAUUUCCACAUGAUAGUCAUGUUUCAAAUUGUCUUCUGGUUUGUGGUAAAGAGAUUAGUGGAGAUAGCAGAAUCAGGAGAGAGUUGGAUUUCCCAUAAGCUGCUAGUUUGUGGUGCUCAAAAUAGUAAUGUAAUAGUUUUGGUGGAAAGACCUAUGUGACGUAGUGUUGAUCUCUACAUAAUGUCAUUUCGAGAUUCGAGGUUAUCAUUUGUUGGUGGACUGGUCACUUAGGCAGAGCAAGGUUGUCUUGUGGACUUGCAAGAGCUUUCACUCCGCGAAAGACUCUACGAAGUGUCUCAAUAUAAGAAGUGAUUGUUGCAGUUCUGCAGUGUGUGCAUCCUUAAAUUUGUUCAAUUAGCGGGUCUUUAUUUUGACCCCUAUGAGCAUGUGCGAAUACGUGAACUUUAGUUUCCUAGCAAGUGGGCUUUAUCGUCGAGUUUGUGAGCAACGUAAUGACGAGGUUGUUGUAUGACGUUAGGAGACUUUAGCCCGAUGGUGAUAGCAAAUUUAUGCAUUUUAUUUGGGUUAGCUAUUUCCAUUGCUCAGGAAAGAGUGUGCAUACCUACGGGUACUCGUACUCUGGAGCAAGUAUCACUGAACCCACUUACGUGUAAACGUUAGUGGUUCAAUGAAGGAUUUAGAGUCCUUGAGAAGAUUGAAAUAAUUCAGGAUAAAUGGGAAGAUUAAAAUAGUCAGAGAUAGACUCAAAGCAGCUCAAAGUGGUCAGAAGAGUUAUAAAGAUGUCCGCAGGAAGGACCAUGAGUUUCAAGUGGGUGAUUGGGCGAUCAUGAAACUACCUCCUUGGAAAGGGGUGGUACGUUUUGGUAACAUGGAAAGCUUGGUCCGAGAUUUAUUGGUCCUUAUGGGUUUUCAGAUCAAGUUGGCUCUCUUGCGUAUCGGUUAGUUUUGCCUCCAGAGUUAUCCAAGAUACAUACUGAGUUUCAUGUAUCCAUGCUUCGCAAGUUUAUUGCCGAUCUCUCUCAUGUGUUGCGAGAGCAGCCAAUUAAUUAGGAGAAAGUUUUUACCUAUGAUGAGGAGCUGGUUCAGAUUCUUGACCAAAAAGGAGCAUAUGUUUAGGAGCAAAUCUUUUCCACUUGUUAAAAUUAUGUGGAGGAGUCAUCAAGUAGAGGAAGCUACAUGGAAAUCGGUGGAGCAGAUGAGGCAUCAAUAUCCUUUCCUCUUUGAUGAGUAUGUAAAUUUCGAGGACGAAAUUUUUAUAAGGAGGGGAGAAUUGUCACAUCCCGACUCUUAAAUUGUCACAUCCCGACCCUUAAAUUUUUACCUUAUUUACUAGCUUGGUUAUAAUAAGAAUUUUACCGUCUCCGUCAUUGAGGUAAUAGUUUAAUCGGUCCCUAGAGGUGUUUUGAGGGACGAUUAAUUUCGGGGAAUUAUUCGUAGGAGAAAAUUAUGACGACGGUAAAAAUGGUAAAUUUUAGCUGGUAAAAGGUAAUUUUUAUUCGGGUAUUAUUUUUCCGGGAUGUUUUAUUUUUGGAAAUGGGUUGUAUAUAGGACUUGGACCGGGUAGGAGGCCCAAGCCUAUUUCUUCUUCUUCUCUCUUUUCUUUCUCUCUUCUCUCUCUCCCUCCCGAGCUCUCUCUCCCCCGCCGGUUUCCUCCGCUCAGAGCACUAGGUUAUUCGUUUCCUUUCUCUUUUUAGUACUACCUUAUAUUCUUGGUCGCACUUAGUGUCUAUAGAGUGAUGGUCCGACCGCGGCGGAUCUAUUAGCAUUAUAUGCUUUAGACACUAUGUGUUGAUUAGGUUUGUGAUGUAGUUGUUCUUCUUUUAUUUAUGGACAGUAGUGUGCCAUAAAUGUCUACAUCUCUAAGACUAUGCCUCCGUACACCGACCUCUUGAGUGUUCAUCCUUCGAGUUUUGAAAAGGUGUAUAGUUUGCAUCUAUUCCAAGGUUCAUUAAUUUAAUAUCUUUGAUAUUAAUGGUUGGAGUUGUUUUGCGAGUGGGGAACGAAAAAGCUUGUUAGCAUUCCUUUCAGGUAUCCAAUGAUUGUUUGGGUUAAAUAAGAUUAAGGUUUCAGAUUAAGAUGCUAAGGUGAGCCUCUUGUGCAAAUCUGUUGGGUGAAAUGUUGAUGAUUAAUGCCUUGAAGUUGUCCAUUUUUUUUUAGUGGGCAAGAUUGGAGUCAAAAAUUGAUUGAUGGGAGAUUUUGGUAUUGAGUUACGUGACUUCUGAGAGAGUUGAGUUGGAAGGAAAGUUCGAAGUAGUGGUGUAUUCUAUUGAUGAAAAAGUUAGUUGAAAUGAUGAGGUGAGGUAUCCAAUGGUAAUUCAAAGGGGUACCUAUAUGAGUUAUUGAGGACCCUAGUCUUGGGUUAAUCAAGGUUUUAGGAAAUUUGUGGCUAGUGAUUGGGUGGUAAGGUAGUGCUGCAUAAAAGAGCUAAAUGUCAAUUUAGAUAAGUCUUGAUUUAAGGCCAUUUUGCCGACAAUUUUAUCCGCAACAUAAAUCAAUUGGGAACAUGUUGGGAUAAUUUUGGUUAUGGCGGUAUAUGUUCUGGUUUCUGCAGUGCUAAUUAUGGAUAUGUUUCUAUCCUUAGAGCAUUUUAUCCAGAUGGUAGUGGUAAUAUAUUUUAAAAAUGAUGGAUGUUAGUAGUCGAUGAAUAGUAAGUUUUCUAAUGAUUUUGGUCUCUAUUGUGGGUUAGUUGAAGUUUGUUAAAGCACUAAGUAGAAUGACUUGGAUUGUUGGUUUUACAAAAGUCAUUCGUCAGUGCGUUGUGACAACUUCUUGUUGUGCCACAGUCGGGGAAUUUUAUAAUUUUAUUGAUGGCAUUAAAUGUUGAGUUUCAAGCAAGUUUGGAAUUAUGGAGUGAGUUGUCGGUUAUAUUAUUUUAACCGUGGGGCCAAUAUGGAUUCUUUUGGAAUUCCAGGUGUUGAAGUUUGGUUUCCAAAUUUGUUGAGUGUUUGGGAAGAUGAUAAUGUAAUGGAAUCGAAAAGUAAUGGUGGAAUGAGAGCGGGAUGGUUGUGGUCACUCCAGUUUUACAACAACACAUGGUGAAAUUUUAAAUAGGUGUUGUCAUGAGUUUUUUUUUUUAUAAAUUCUAAGGUAGUUGCAUGAAAUUGGUGGAAGUGGCAGCGGUAGAAUAGAACCCACUUGAUCAUAAAGCAAGAGUGCGUGGGUGUCUAAAGUAAUUUUUAAGCAAUGUCAUUCCGGGUGGUUGAUGUAAGUCUCAAAUUUGUAAUCGAAGUUGGUUUUGACAUCAUUUCGUUCGCAAUGGGUGACUAACUACGACAUAACAAUGGGAUGAUCUAUUCUCAUCUUAUUUCUAAUUCGGUGAGAUGGAGUAAAGUUUUGGUUGUGGUGUGUGUGGGAAUAUUUAAAUUAUUCAUACUGUAGGUUUUAGGUAGUAUCCUCAGAGCUUGAAAUUUUGGAAUGCGGAUUCAACACUUCGAUUUGAAGGGUAGAGAUUCUGGUUAUUUUGUCGAAGUUUUGAAGUAAAUGAUAUUUGGUAGUUGUGUCGUAGUCAUGGAUCCGGAAUAAAUCCAGUGGUGAUCCUAAGUGAGCUGGAGUUCUUUUAAGUGUUGAGUCUUGAUGCCGUAAAUCCUAUGUGGUAGUUUGAGAGUUGCAUGGUGAUGUUGAUUUUGAUGGUUUGUGUCAUUAUAGGUAUAUUUCAUGAUGUAGCAUUAUGGAAGAGGGUUUUCCCUUGUUGACUCAAGAAGCGUUUAGAGUCAAGGUUUAUUAAGAGCUUUAAUAUUGAGAGUAAUAGUUUUUGAUAGGCUGGUCAGCAUCUCUUAUUGUGGUGGGACCACUCAUUGAUCCAAGUUUGAUUUGAGAGGUCUUCGUUAUUUGGUUGUGCGUUCGUCCGUUGGUGUCAAGAUGAUUAGUGGAGGUUUCUAGUGCGAUUUCGAAGCGGGUUCUGGCGGAUAUAGGAGAUCUGUGGAGCUUUUGAGCUCGAAGUUAGAGGACUUGCUUUUCGUGUGCUUUAAAUUUUUUUUUCUUUUGGAGCUUGAGCUGAGUUAAGCCAUGAGUUUUGAUUCUUGGUAAUUUUACCAAUAUAGUAAAGCCUACAAGUAUUUACCUCUUUUUACCAAUAUAGUAAUUUUCGUUUUUAGACCAUAACUUCUUCAUACGAACUCCGUUUGAAGCGUGCCUCUUGUCCACGAACUCCGUUUAACGUCCUCUACAACUUUCAUGAAGGAAGUUUUCCCAAAUUCCAAACGGAAGAAAAAGUCAACUUUAGGGUCCUUAAGUAGUAAACGGUUACUCAACACGGUAAAAGACCAAAAUAACACCAAAGUAAAUAACCGUAAAAUAACUUAAGAACCGGGGUGUGACAGAAAUAAUGGAGGAAGCUCAUAGUUCUGCAUAUGCUGCUCAUCUAGGUAGCAUAAAAAUGUAUCGGACUUUUGUGAGUAGAUGUUUAAUUUGUCAACAAGUGAAAGCUGAAAGGCAGAAACCUUCUACGUUGCUUAAGCCGUUGUCUAUUCCAGUGUGGCAGUGGGACCACAUCACCAUGGAUUUUGUUUUCAGUUUACCUCGUACCCGUGAAGGGCAUGACGGUAUUUGGGUGAUUGUGGAUAGACUCACCAAAUCUGCACAUUUCUUGCCGGUGGAAAAGAAGUAUACACUGGAUAAAUUUGCGGAGCUUUAUGUGAAUGAGAUUGUGAGGCUUCAUGGUGUACCUGAAUGAAUAGUGUCGGAUCGGGAUCCUAGAUUUGCAUCUAAAUUCUGGGGAGCUCAUUAGGCAGCUUUGGGCACCCGAUUACACUUUAGCACUGCUUUCAUCCUCAGUCCGAUGGGCAAUCAGAGAGGAUUAUUCACACUUUGGAGGAUAUGGUGAGAGCUUGUGCCAUGCAGUUUAGAGGGAGUUGGGAUAAAAACCUAUCUUUGAUGGAAUUUGCUUACAAUAAUAGCUAUCAUUCUAGUAUUGGUAUGGCUCCCUUUAAGGCACUUUAUGAGAAGCAGUGUUGUACACCUUUGUGUUGGAAUGAAGUAGGAGAAAAAGAGCUUUGUGGUCUCGAGUUAAUUCAUGAUACAAAUGAGAAGAUUAAAGUGGUUAGAGAUAGACUCAAGGCCGCUCAAAGUAGGCAGAAGAGUUAUGCAGAUGUUCGUAGGAAGGACCUUGAGUUUCAAGUGGGUGAUUGUGUGUUCUUGAAACUAUCUCCUUGGAAAAAGGCAGUACGUUUUGGUAAACGUGGAAAGCUUAGCCCGACAUAUAUUGGUCCUUAUGAGAUAAUAGAGCGAGUUGGCUCGCUUGCUUAUCGGUUACUUUUGCCUCCAGAAUCAUCCAGGAUACAUAAUGUGUUUCAUGUAUCUAUGUUUCGCAAGUAUAUUGCCGAUCCCUCUCAUGUGCUGCAAGAGCAGUGAUUUGAUGCUAAUUGCAACUUACGCGCAAUAAGAGCAUGGUCAUCAAAGAAGUGGGAAAUAUUUAGACCCGAAGUUAUCGUACCACGGGGAUCACAAGCUAGCUAGCAAUCCUAUGGUCUAAGUCAUCAAUCACUUAUGCAUAUAUGUACAAAGAGGCUCACACAAUGGAUUUACAAAGAAAUUGUAGAGAAUGUGUCAUAAUGUUUUUGGGGUUUUCAACUAACAAACAAACUAAAUAACUAAGACAUAAAAGUAAAAUAGAUAGCAGGAUGGGAUGCAUCACCCAAGGGUCACCAUGGAAUUCAAGGUUCUCUACCCAAAUAAGAAUCAUAUGGCAAUAAUGAUGAUUAACUCAAAAGAUGCUUCAAUGUUUUGCCGGAUUUCCUUUUAGCAUUAAGAGACCGAAAAAAAAGCUAAAUCGGUUGUCACACAAUAGGAGGUAAACCAUAAGGGAAAGUUAGUGGGAGAAAGAACACUUUGGUUUUGCCUAUCCUAGUCUAGCAACCAUUACCACAAAUAAUAAGAUCGAAAAUAGUACUUACGAUAACAAUUACCCUACCCACAAUUCCAAAUACUAUUCCAACAAUCAAGAGAAAUAAUACACAAAAUUGGGUGUUAAGAGACCCACAGUCUAGAGAAAUCCAAAUGGAAAUAGAUAUAUGCAAUAAUGUGCAAAUUCCACCAUACUCAUGCCAUAACAUAAAUUGAAAUACAAAUUCCCAAAUUCAAUAUUCCAAUUCCAACACACCAAACAUAGAUUAAGGAGGGGAAUACCUAAAUCAUACAUCUAGAGUGAGGAAAUUAAUCUAAGAGUACACAAAGCAUAUGAAUAAACAUCAAUUUUAUUAAUUUCUCAUCAACACCAUACAAAUCCAAACUUGGGUUUCAAAAUGACCCUAAAAACAAUGAGAGGUCACACACAAAUACAUAUCCAUACACAUCAACAACACCAUAAGAAAGAGAUAAUAAUAGAGAGAAAGAAAGGGGAGAAAGAAGAGGGAAAGAGAGGAGAAGUCCAUGCAAGUCAAGGCAAAGCUUGUCAAUAGCAAAUGCCCAAACUCCAUGGCUUCUCUUGCUACCCUAUUAUGAAGCCAUGGUGGAGAGAUGGUGGUCAAGAAACCGGAGAUGUGCGUGCCUCCUCCUUGUGAAAGCCUACAUGUGAAGAAUGGAGGAAGGAGAAGAGAAGAGGAGGAGAGGAGGGAGAGAACUCCCAAAUUUGGCCAAAAACAAAGAGAGGAGGAAAACUCGGUCGAGCCUCCUGAAAUGAGAGUAAAAGUCUGCUUAAAUAGCCUCUUAGAUUCAAGGGUCAAGAUUAAACUUAAAACCUAAAUCCAAUGGCUCAAAAACAAGGAGAAAAUGGGUAAAAUGAAAUGCAACACAAUUGGGCUUGGGUCUUCACUUGUGGGCUUCUUUGGUCUUGGUCCGAGUUGACUUCGUUGACGCGUAGGUCAACCCGUUGACUUUUGUCCUUAAGUUGGAAAUUGUCUUUUUUCUCUCAAUUAGCCACUUCUAAUGUCUUUUUCUUCUUUUGACCAUAAUUUCCUACAAAUGAAGAAAACAAAGUAAAUACUAUAAAUAGUGCUUGAGUACUCGCUAAUUUCAAGGUAAUUAAGUAUAGAUGCACACGUAAAUUACAUGUGCAACAAGCAGCCGAUUAGUUUGCAGAAGGAUUUGUCCUAUGAAGAGGAGCCGGUUCAGAUUCUUGACCGAAACGUGCAAGUGCUUAGGAACAAGACAAUCCCAUUUGUCAAGGUGGUUUGAAGAAGUCAUCAAGUAGAGGAAGCUUGUCAGGACCUACCCCGGAUUUCCCCUUGAAAUCCGGGAUAAACCUUGUGAGACCCAUCUCAAGGGAAAUUCUACCAAAAUUUUGGCAUAACCUUACUUGAAAAUGAGUAACCCUACCUGAAAGAAUAACACCAAAACCCAAACACUUCUAAAACAAUUUAAUCCACGUCUUCUGGAGCCAUCUGCUCUCCCAAAUAAUCAUCCACCACCUCAACUGAAAUAAUAGUUCAAAAUAUUUUCAUGAAUUUAAUCCCUCAUACAACAUACCAAAUAAACCUUUUUUUUCAACACUCCUAGGUGGAGUCACAAGUUCUUAACACACAACAACAACAACAACAACAAUAUCACUUAAAACAUCCCAUGGUUAUCAGAAGAAAAUACAUAGGUAGGUUAAACUAGUAACCUAUGAGAGAAAACUGGAUGAGGUGGGAAAUAUGACUCGCCUCCUACCCUCGCCAAACAGAACUCUGCAGACUGGGCAUUUAAAACGAAAGGCCCAGGGGAGAAGCAUUUAAAACGUUAGAGUGAGUAGACAAAAUAAAUAAUAAAAACACGAACUUAAUGAUAGAGCAUUGAAAUCAAUUUAAUGCUUUUCCCAUAUUUUCCAUUGAGAAAAUAUUUAUGCAUGCUAUUCUUGGAAAUCUUUCCAAAAAUAAUUAGAGGCAACAAGAAUGAACCAAUCCCAUUAGUUCCCAAUAAAUCAAUAAAAAUGGGGAAGAGGUUUCACCAUAACGAUGAGCCUCCCAGGCUAGGGUCGGAACCUCCCAGACUAUAAUAACGUCCCACGCUAAGCGCCCUACUCACCUAUGGUGAGUAGUCACUAAUAAUGGCUAGCUAACAUAUAAAUAUAAAUACUGAUCGGUUGCCUCUCAGGCUAUAAUAGCGUCCCACGCUAAACGUCCUACUCACCUAUGGUGAGUAGCCGCUAAUAAUGAUUAGCUAGCAAUAAAGAAUAUAUAUCAACCCUUUAUGGUGAAGUAAAAAUAAAUAAUAUCAAGAAUGUCACUUCCCCAAAAAUAAUAUAAAUCACUUGACAUGUCCCACAUGUCAAAUAAAAUGAGCAAGAGAGUUCCCGAAAAAUAAAUGGAACUCAUUAAAUCCAAUGAAAAAUAUUAAAACUCCAAUAUGCUCACGACACAUUAAAUCUCCAAUAUGCCUCUGAAAUUAAUUAAACUUUAGAGCAUGCAUAACAUUCAAAUCAAGGGUCCACUCACAGUGCUCGGCUAUGCCUGCCGACGACCCGAGGCUUCCUCCAAAUGAUCCUCCUCACGUCCGGAACAAUAAAUAAUUAUUAAGCCUCCAGACCAGGAUAAAACUUUAAUAAAAUUUCCGAAAUAAAAAGGAAGCCUAUAAUUUCAUUUCUCUUGCCCAACUUCUCAACUUUUUACCUAAUAAGGCUCACAUUACUCCGCACUUACCGAAAGCCAUAAUUUAACCUUUUUAGACUUUAAAACCUGCUAAACCAACUGCCGGAUUUCCAUUCGAAUAACCGCCUAAAUCCUUAAUCAUUGAUAAAUCCCAAAUCUUAUCAAAUCUCCUCCAAAAAUUCCAAACUAUACAUCAUUAAACUCCUCUAAUGAAAACAAACCCAAAAUCAAGAAAAACUGACCCCAAGGGGCGGCGGCGGUCGGCAGCCGUAUUCCGGCGACCUCCAAUGCUUCUCAAAUUUUAAUAAAAUAAUCCUCUCAUCAUGCACAAUAACCUUCAUAACUAGCACUUACUCCAAUUCUAAGGCUAACUAGGGUAAUCGAACUAAAACAUCCAUAAAUCCCUAAAACUUCAAUUAUACAUUUCACCCUAACAAGAUCGAAUUAGACCAAUUCCUUUAGAGGGAUUACUCACCUUGAUGAGGGCUACAAGAUGAGCCAAAAAUCUCGACCUAUGGUGGCCGGAGGUGGGAACUCCGGCGAAGAGCUAUCCGGCAUCUCUGGCGGGUUUUCUCCUCUCCGGCGGUGGUACCGGCUCGGACACUAGGCCGGGGAGAGAGAGGAGGUGGCGGGGGUCCGAACUAGAGUGGAACAGCGACCGGUGGCUGGCCGAACGGCGGCAGCUGGCGUUGGAAACUUCAGGCGGGUUAGGGCUCGGGGUGAGCUCAGGAGAGAAGGGAGGAAGAGAGAGAGAGUGAGAGUGAGUGAGGGAGUGAGGGGUGCUGGGCUGCUCCACACCCGGUCAAACACUUAAACCCAAGAAAAAUACCCACUAAAUUUUUACCCCCUUUUACCAACUCAAAUAAUUUACUCUCUUAAUUUAUAACUUUUUCAUGCUAACUCCGAUUUUAACACACAGUAUGUCUACGAACUUGUAAUAACGUCCUCUAUAACUUUCAUGAAAAAAGCUUCCCCAAAUUCCAAACGGAAUAGAAAGUCAACUUUAGGGUCCUUAAGUAGUAAACGGUUACUCAACACGGUAAAAGACCAAAAUAAUACCAAAGUAAAUAACCGUAAAAUAACUUAAGAACCGGGGUGUGACAAAGCUACUUGGGAAUCAGAUGAGCAAAUGAGGCAGCAGUAUCCCUACCUCUUCGAUUGACAGGUAUGUAAAUUUCGAGGACGAAAUUUUUAUAAGGAAAGGAGAAUUGUCACAUCUCGACUCUUAAAUUUUUACCUUAUUUACUAGCUUGGUAUUAAUAAGAAUUUUACCGUUUUCGUCAAUGAGUUAUUAGUUUAAUUGGUCCAUAGAGGGGUUUUGGGGCACGUUUAUUUCGGAGGAUUAAUCGUAGGAGAAAAAUGUGACGACGGUAAAAAUGGUAAAUUUUAGCUAGUAAAAGGUAAUUUUUAUUGAGGUAUUAUUUUUAUGAUGUUAUUUGUGGAGUUGGGUUGUUAAUUGGUGUGGGUAUUAAAGUGUUGGACUGGUUUGGGGAGUAGAGGUUCAAACCAUUUCUCUCCUCUCUUCCUUCUCUCCUUCUCCCCGAUUCUUUCUCUUUCUCCCGCUGCAGGAAGUUUCCGGUCGUUGUCCGGCCAUCAUACGCCGCCGCACCGGUCUCAAUCGGUCGGCCCUUGUUCCCUCUUCCUUCCUGGACCGGUGGUAGCCUCCCUAGGGUCGCCGUGAGAGAGAAAUCAAGCCUAAAAGUCCCGACUGCCCAAAGCUCUCCGUCGGCAGAACUUCCUCCUCCGGCCACCAAUCUGGGCAAGCCUUAUUUGGUUUUGAAGGUCUUCAACCCAGUUGCCUUGCCCUAGAAGGACUCAGUUCAGUUUGCUUCAGGUGAGGAGAACCGGUGAGUGAAAGUUCUAGGUUUUUUGUAAUGUUUUCGUUUAAUUGGCAUAGUUAGGCUUGGAAUUAGUGUUUGUGCUAGUUAGGAAAGUUGUAGAAGGAGUUGAGAGGAAGAUGCUGUCAAAAUUUGGUAGGCAUUGGAGGUAGCCGGAGUCGGCCUCCGGCCGCCGCUGCCGGCGGAGCAGACGGCGGCGCCACCUCUGUUUUGGGGAUUUUCAUGAUUUUAAUUGUGUUAUAUUUAGGGGAGUUUAAUGGUGUGAAUUUUGGAAUUUUUGGAGGAGUUUUGGAUAGGUUUGGGAAUUUUUAAAGAUUGGUAAUUGAUGGAUUAAUAGGGUAGAAUCCGGCCAUUGGAUUAAUGUUGUGUAGACUGUGGAAGGUGGUGUUAAGGCUGCCAUUAUUUUUCGGUGAAGUUUGGAGCAUAUUGAGUUAAGAAUGACGAAGUGGGCAUAGAUGAGUGAGGUUAAGGCUCAUAUUUAAUUUUUGCCUAUUUUGAGUAAAUAUUAGAUUUUUAGUUGGGAAAUUAAUUAUAUAUUUGAAACAGGACGUGAGGAGGCUCGAGCAGAAGAGGCCUCGGAUUGACAUCAGGCUUAGGCCUAAUUUGUGAGUGGACCUUUGUUUUAAUUAAAAGCAUGCGAUGCAUUAUAUUGUUGAUCAGUUAUUCUUCUACUAAAAUCUAUUGCUUUCUCUAAUAUUUGGCAAUUUUCUUCUUUUGGAGAGUCACCGAAAAUGAGAUUUACGGUGGAUUUGUAUAUUGGAUGUUUAUGAGUAUAAUAUGUAUAUAAAUGCUAACUAGCCAUACGUGAUUGGUCCGUCAUAAUGAGGUAAAAUUCCAUUAUGGCAUGACGUGAGUGUUAGACACAAGCGUCAUAGCCCUAUAUGAAAACUACUUUCUUAUUUGGUUCUUAUAGGUUUUCAUAUAGGGAGUCCACACGUAAAUACACUCGUCCUCUUCGGUCAUAAUGAGGAAAAAUUCUAUUAUGGUGCGAUGUGAGCGUUAGACGUGAGCGUUAGACGUGACGAUGCUUGCGUCUAACGCUCACGUCGUAGCCUUGUAUGAAUUUCUGCUUUUCUAUCUUGUUCAUAGAAUUGGUACAAGGAGUCUGACUAGUGUAAAUACAUACACAUAUAUAUUUGUAUAUAGUUUAGCCUGUGAGGAGCUAGUCAUGUAUUUGCCAGUUUGUGAGUAGAAAGCUUUUAGCUGUCGCAUGCAGCAUAAUUUCUAUGAAAAUUAAAAUGGGAAUGCAUAAAUAUUUAUUGUUUAUUUUAUUUUUGUCCACUCACUCUAACGGUUUCAAAUGUUUUGCCCUGAGCCCUUCGUUUUAAAAUGCCCACUCUGCGGAAUUCAGGUUGACACUAGUAGGAGGCGAGGCGUAGUUACCCACAUUUCCACCACUUUUCACCAAUAGGUUAUCUGUUUAACCUACCAGUGUUUUUCUUGCUUCCUCUAGUUUUAGCGGCUCUGAUUACCUUGAGGAUAAUGUAUAUUAGUUCGGUUGUGUGCUAAGUCUUGGAUUUAAAUUUGGAAUAUUUGAAGGUUGAAGUUUGUUAUUUUAUAAUUGGAUAUUUAUGUGAUGGAUUAGAAGAUGGUUUUAUUAUUAUUGUUGUGGUGGUUGUAUUGUGGGGAGCGGGUGGCUCUAGGUGUUGAGGUUGGAUGUGUUCAUAUAGGAGUGUUAUUUGAAUUUUUCAGGUUAGGGUUGUCUUUUUUCAAAGGAGGUUAUGCCGAAUUUUUUGGUAAAUUUUCCUUGGAGGUGGACCCCGCAAGACUUACUUCGGGUUUCAUGAUAAAUUCGGGGUGGGUCUUGACAGUCUUGGCCGCUUUCGAGUACCGUUGCGUAGCUUGUAUGUCGAGAUGUAUGUCAUGGUCGGGUCCCGCCAUAGCUCGUGGGCCCACAAAAAGGGUGUCACUUAUGCUUGGUGGUGUAGGCAUAUUAGCCAUAAUAGUGGCUACACCUACAGAAUGCACUCAUAUUGCUACAAGGUUUUAGGUUUUGAAUAGGGAUGUUAUCUUGAAAUUUUUAGGCUAUAGUUGUGUAGUUUGCAGGCAACCAUUAUGUUUGUUCACUACAGGAAAUAUCGACUUAGUCGAUGGAAUUUUAUUAAUUUCGUCGGCUAAGUGACUCUUCGCCGAUGGAAGCAGAACCGUCGUAUAGGACAUCACAUCCGUCGCCUAAACGGAAAAUAACUGUCGACGUCUUCCGUCGACUAAGCUAUUCAUACUCAACGAAACACUAUUCGUCGUCCAAGUUCCGUUGGUUUAGUAAACCCUAGGCGACGAAUAUCUUCCGUCGGUAUGAUUUCGUCUGCUUAGAUCCUCUUAGGCGACGGAAAUUGACUGUCGACAUAGUCCGUCGUCUAAGAUUUUCUUGGGCGACGAAUAAUGUUCUGUCAAUAUAUCUAGUCUUAGACGACGAAUAAUGUUCGGUCGUCUUAAAUUUUCUUGGGCGACGAAGACUAUUCCGUCGGGUAAGAAAGACUUGGGCGAUGAAUAUUCUUUCUUAGCCGACGAAUUGUUCUGUCGACUAAGAAUUUGAAUUAUUGCCUGACACAAAGCAGAACGAAUAUUUUUUCCGACUCUUUUUGUCUUAGGCGAUGGAAUAUUCUGUCGGCUAAGUUUACACAUCAUUCAUUUAUACACCUUUUGCCCAGACUCCCCCCCCCCCCCUUUCAUCGGAAUAUUCAUCCAAUCCAAAUCUAGUUUUGGAAGCUUUUCUUCAUGAUGAAUUUGAUCGAUCUUUAAGAGCUGCGCGCUUCGAUCUCGAUCUCCUAAUUGGUAUAUAUGUAACUACUUUAAUUAAUUAAUUUACUUUCUUCUUUUAGGCAUAUUUUCCUGCGAACUUUCCGGCGACUUGCAGGUCCAAUUUUGAUAGAUUGUUGCUUACAUGUAUGCUUAAUAUAAUUAUUGGAUAUGUGUGUAUAAUAUGUUUGUACGUACGUAUAAUAUUAUAUAUGCAAGAAAACUAUAUAAUAUUAUGUUUGUAUAUAUAUCUAACUUUUGUGUGUAUAAUUUUUAAAGAUAUAUAUAUAUCUUUAACUUUUGUAUGUAUGAUUAAUAGUUAUGUGAAUAAUAUGUAUAUCAAAUUUUUGUUUUCAUUCAAAUCGAUUUGUGUAUUCGUAUGAUAAAAAAUAAAGUGAUGAAUCAUGAAAUUAAGAAUUAUAAUAUUCUUAUGCAUUCAUCAAUAUAUAUUGUUACCCUUAGAAAUCCCGUUCGAGAACCAUUAUGUUACGAUUGUGUCUAACAAAAUGGUUUUCGAAUUGUCCCAUAUUUGGACAGUUUGGGAGCAUAUGACAUUGAGAUUCCGUUUGUUAUUGGUGCGUUUUGUUUUCGGUUGUGGGUAUAUAUAUUUCGACAAGAUCUUCCUUUAUUGUUCCUCGAGUGUAUUCUAGGUAUAGAUAUUCGUGCACUUGGGGAACUGUAGAGAGAUGCUGUCGAAAUUUUCUCACAUAAACGAAUUUGAAACACCCCAACAACAAAUGAAAUCACAAUGUCAUAUGCUCUCAAACGGGAUUAGGGCCCUAACCAGAGGUAUAAGGUGAAGAAUAUUAUUGGGGUAAUAAUUAAACUCUCAAGUAUGGAAAAUGAUUGGAAAAUUAUGCUCAUAUAUAUGUAAAGUGGGGAAAAUUAUUGGGGGUCAGUAAUUUUCUGUAUUACUUGAUAUAACACAUCCGCCUUCCUUGAGUUUCUUCCAGUUUGAUACUUGGAUGUUUGUUUUACUCUUUUCCAGGUCUUUUCUUUAAUCUGGAAUGCUUCCAAUUUUUGUUAUGCUCAUAUGUUCAAGUGUGAAAAAUUAUUAGGGGUCAGUAAUUUUCUUGACCAGCGCAACCAAAGUUUCUGGAUAAUUGUUAUUACUUAGAUUCCUUUCAACCAUCCUCUAAUGACAUAAUAGGGUAGUAAACUCUCAAGUAUGGAAAAUUAUUGGGGGUCAGUAAUUUUCCUGAACAGAGCAACCAAAGUUUACUGACCCCCAAUAACCACCCUAUAACAAAAAAAAAUUUGAAACUGACAAUCAAAGAUAAAUGAAACUGACAGAAAGAUCAAAGAAAUAGACCAAAAUUACUAAAAGAACAAGUUCUGGCAUUGAAAUUCAAGGUCAUUCUUAUGUUCUUACAACACUACCAAAAUACUACAUAUUUUCACAUUUUGAAGAUCCUACAUCUUACAUAUUUUCACAUUUUGAAGAUCCUAUAUCUAAAGUGGCACUAAUCUUUUUUCUAUAUUGAUGUCCAUGAACUUUAACAGGAUCUUCUUCCUCAUUUCAUUACCACCAUCUUCUGUCGGUCUUUUCCUAUGACAUAGACUCUCUAUAAAGUGGAGCAAAAAUGGUCCACAGUCUGACCUGCAGUGUAUUAAGAAAGUGUUACUAAAUUUUUCACCCUAAUAAAAUAGACAAGUAAUUUCUGACCCCAAUAAAACUCUUUAAAGAAAGUUUAAAGGUACUUACGAUGUUUUGUUUUGCUGCGGGCAGGAUAAGAUAUCAUUCAGCUUGUAUCUUGCUUGAUAAACGUUUUGGUCCAGCAUCCAUCUUCUUGUUCUUUUCUCUUCAGCACUCAUCAUCGAGUAACCGUCAACCACUAUUCCUUGGCUAUCCUGCUUGUCAUAGUUUUCCCUCCAUUCCUCAGGGUUCAAGCCUUGGCUGAGAGGGUAUUUGGUGGAAUCAUAUACGCAUUUGAUGAACACCAUAAUGUGCUUCACCUGUUGGUUCCAACACACAAGUAAAUUACAACUCAAACAAACUAAGAGAAUAAGCAACAAACAAAAACCAGUAGAAGUUUACUGCGCCCCCAGUAAACUUCUUACCCUAAUAAAUCAGUUACAACUCACCACUGCCAUGACAUUUUGAAAGUCGUUGUUGGUGUCGGUAGAGUAAUCUUUUCUUGACGGUAGCAUUGAGUUCAGGUGAUAGAAGCAUCGAGCUUUGUUGUCAAUCAGGACCAAUGUAUAGUGGUGGCUGACCCCGUGAUUUACCGAAAUGAAAACCAGGUCCUUAUUGAAGAUGGACCACAGAGGAUUAAUAAUAGGGUUUAGGGUUAUAACAGCUUCCAUGUAUCAGUGUUGCAGUUCACUCCAUCAAUAACAAUAUUAUUUUGGACUUUAUGCUCCACCUCCUUUGUUCUUUUUGCUGGCUUUAGCCCUUCAGGGGUGUCAUACUCCCAUUCUUCUUCUUUCCUCUUUUGUGCCCCACGCUUCUUUAGGUUGACGUCUCUUUCAAUCGAACCAGUCUCCACAGUUUGUUUUGAGCCCUUCUAGUUGACAUAUUUCUUGAGCCCUUUUGCUUGCUGUUCUUUAUUCUUCAAGCUGGUUUCUUCAUUCAAUUUUUUUCCGGCCAUUUCCACAGCUUGAGCAACAAGUAUGUCUAGUUUAGACAGGUCGACAUCGGUCAUCACAGGUUCAUCGUCUUCUGGAAAUAUUUUUCGCAACGGAACUAGUUCUGCUACUUGUUCAAAAAACUACACAAAAGAAAACACACAAGUUAUCCUCAACAAAAUGAAGAAAACACAAUAUUUAUUGGGGGUCAAUAAACUGAUUUCUACUCUUACCUCUUCAGUUCCUGGUUGCUCCUCUCUGCAGCUAUGAUCCUUCCUAUUUUGUCUCUGCAGUUAUAUUCUUCCUCUUGAACCGGCUUUGACCUAUCCUCCUCCUCCUCCUCCUCCUUCUCCUUAGUUACACAUAUUAUCUGCUUUGUUUGAGCAUGUUUUGCCCCCUUGUGCAACAGUUUCCUGAGAGCGUUGAUUUGGUUUUUGUCUGCCCUCCUUUCUUUCUCUAGCUCAAUGAUUUGGUUGUCCGCUUUCUUUAACUUGCAGAGCAAUUCAGUGUUUUUGUUCACCAGUUCUUCAUUUGCUUUGGCAAGUUCUGUCAGCUUCUGCAUAUCUUUCAUCAGCAGCUCCUGUACACGUUAUAACAAUGAAAUCGUUACUGUUAAACAAUUAUAUCUAAAUAAACAAGUUUACUCGCCCCCAGUAAACUUCUACUGGCGNNNNNNNNNNNNNNNNNNNNNNNNNNNNNNNNNNNNNNNNNNNNNNNNNNNNNNNNNNNNNNNNNNNNNNNNNNNNNNNNNNNNNNNNNNNNNNNNNNNNNNNNNNNNNNNNNNNNNNNNNNNNNNNNNNNNNNNNNNNNNNNNNNNNNNNNNNNNNNNNNNNNNNNNNNNNNNNNNNNNNNNNNNNNNNNNNNNNNNNNNNNNNNNNNNNNNNNNNNNNNNNNNNNNNNNNNNNNNNNNNNNNNNNNNNNNNNNNNNNNNNNNNNNNNNNNNNNNNNNNNNNNNNNNNNNNNNNNNNNNNNNNNNNNNNNNNNNNNNNNNNNNNNNNNNNNNNNNNNNNNNNNNNNNNNNNNNNNNNNNNNNNNNNNNNNNNNNNNNNNNNNNNNNNNNNNNNNNNNNNNNNNNNNNNNNNNNNNNNNNNNNNNNNNNNNNNNNNNNNNNNNNNNNNNNNNNNNNNNNNNNNNNNNNNNNNNNNNNNNNNNNNNNNNNNNNNNNNNNNNNNNNNNNNNNNNNNNNNNNNNNNNNNNNNNNNNNNNNNNNNNNNNNNNNNNNNNNNNNNNNNNNNNNNNNNNNNNNNNNNNNNNNNNNNNNNNNNNNNNNNNNNNNNNNNNNNNNNNNNNNNNNNNNNNNNNNNNNNNNNNNNNNNNNNNNNNNNNNNNNNNNNNNNNNNNNNNNNNNNNNNNNNNNNNNNNNNNNNNNNNNNNNNNNNNNNNNNNNNNNNNNNNNNNNNNNNNNNNNNNNNNNNNNNNNNNNNNNNNNNNNNNNNNNNNNNNNNNNNNNNNNNNNNNNNNNNNNNNNNNNNNNNNNNNNNNNNNNNNNNNNNNNNNNNNNNNNNNNNNNNNNNNNNNNNNNNNNNNNNNNNNNNNNNNNNNNNNNNNNNNNNNNNNNNNNNNNNNNNNNNNNNNNNNNNNNNNNNNNNNNNNNNNNNNNNNNNNNNNNNNNNNNNNNNNNNNNNNNNNNNNNNNNNNNNNNNNNNNNNNNNNNNNNNNNNNAGCCAGAAAAUCUGAAGUGAAAAAUGAGUGCAUACCUUGUGAGAAUGAAUCAUACUUGUUUGAAACAUGCUGAGCUUAAAUAUCACCAUUGUUCUAUCAGGUUCUACAUGUAAGUAUGUGAUCUAUGCAUGGCAAUUAGCUUCUGAAACUUCAUGGAAUGAUUCUUGAUUGAGUGCUAAUUUUGAUGCCAUGAGAUUGGAGAUUCUGAGACAAUAUGUUAUGGGCAAUAGAGUUGUUUGUUUGUUAAGUUUUGUAGUGUAUAGUUUCUGGUUUGAGUGUAUUGAGUCUUUUGUUUGAUUUUGCUAAGGGACUAGCAAAAGCUAAGUGUGGGGGAAUUUGAUAGGUGCAUUUUAUGCAACGUUCUUAAUGUAUUUCCGACCCUAUUUAGUUAUGUAAUUCCUUUAACAAUAUUGAUUUUAACUUAGUUUGUGUUUUUAGGUCACAAAUAAAGCCGAGGAGCACAAAAGAGGCAAAAGAGGAGAAAUCUUGAAGGAAAAGGAAUCCAUAUGGCGCAAGGAAAGAAAUCAGAAAAUCUGCCAGUUAUAGUCAGUCAACUUCGACAGAGAAUUGUGAUCAGCUCACAACGAUCCAGGAGAUGAACUUUAUAUCAGCAGAAAGCUAGAAGAGUCUAGCUUUCAGAACUUUUCGCAGAUCGUCAAUAGCUAUUUUGGUGACCAAGUUAUGACCGUUUGAGUGACCAAAGGUCAGUCUGCCCGAAUUUCUGAUUUGGACCGGAACUUCAAUUUCAAGGCCCAGACCACAACGGCGAGCCCAUGGACGAAAAUUAAAGGUUCUCUAACCCUAAUAGCAGCUGUUCAUAUGUUCUCUAUAUGUAUGAGGAGUCGGAGACGUGAAAGGGUCGCUCUUGGCCGCAGAAAAACAACGCCUUUCAUCUCCUUCAAAAAUUCUUCUCCAAACACAAACCCUAAUUUUAGGAUUUCUCCUGCCUUCUCCUCUGUAAUUCUCGGCGUAGUUCCUUGUUUCAAUACUCAAAGUGUAAUCUAAACUCAUACCUCAUGUUUUCUUUUAUUAUCUAUUCAAUUACUUUAGUUUGUUUCCAUCUCUCUUAUUCGUUUGUGUUCAUGAGUUGGAUUUUUGAUUGAGUUUGUUCUUAUAAUCAUGAAAAUCAGAUCUGUACACUUGAGUUGUUGGUGUAAUUGAUGAUGCUUUUGAUGAUCUAAAUUAUGUUUAUAUGUGUGAUUGACAACUUAUGACUUGUUCUUAAUCAAUAUGUGUCAUUGUUUGUGUUAAGUCCGCGUCGGUAAACAUGAACUAGAAUGGUAAGGAGUUAUAGGUUNNNNNNNNNNNNNNNNNNNNNNNNNNNNNNNNNNNNNNNNNNNNNNNNNNNNNNNNNNNNNNNNNNNNNNNNNNNNNNNNNNNNNNNNNNNNNNNNNNNNNNNNNNNNNNNNNNNNNNNNNNNNNNNNNNNNNNNNNNNNNNNNNNNNNNNNNNNNNNNNNNNNNNNNNNNNNNNNNNNNNNNNNNNNNNNNNNNNNNNNNNNNNNNNNNNNNNNNNNNNNNNNNNNNNNNNNNNNNNNNNNNNNNNNNNNNNNNNNNNNNNNNNNNNNNNNNNNNNNNNNNNNNNNNNNNNNNNNNNNNNNNNNNNNNNNNNNNNNNNNNNNNNNNNNNNNNNNNNNNNNNNNNNNNNNNNNUCUAUGAGAGGUUAGAAGGGUUUUAAGUAGUUAAGUCCGCGUCGGUAAAUUACUUGAAACAUGGAAUUUGAUUCGUUUCUCCAUAUGCAUGAUUUAGGUUGUUAGGGUUGAAAUUACAUAGCUACUUGAUUAUAUGAAUCUGAUUUAGUGUUUUCUUGUGUGCAAAGAGACGAUCACAUGUAUAUAGUAGCUUAGGUUUUUGUUUCUUUUUAGUUUAGGAUUUUCGUCACUCUUCUGUUCUCUGUUUUCUUUUAUUUUAUUUUCGUAUCAAACAAUCUCCGAAUCCCCUGAAAAUUUGUACAGUAGUUCCUCGGUGUGUCUAGUAGAUCUCUGUAAAUUUUCAUAUUUUUCUGAGUAGUUUAGGUUAGGUUUUUAAUUAGGUUUUCGACUGCUGUUCUAUGGAACAGUAGCUACUUUUGUAAAUUGUUUAAAUGUUUUAUUACUUGUUAAUAUUUGUUGUGUUUUUCUAACACUUUGUUUUACAAGGUACCCUCAAUCCCCGGCCCUAUACGAUACCCUACUUACUCAAUGCUACUAACGAUAAAAAGGGUUUAUUUGAUGCAGGUUUUGCACCCGUCAACCAGCCCCACUGGUUAAUCAAAUACAGAAAUCUCGAAAAUAGAGACAGACCAGCCCUGCUGGUUAAUAAAUUACAUAACUGAGAAAAAUAAAACGAGGGGAAGAGUUUUCACCAUGUAAGAAGAGCCUCCAAGGCUCGGGUCAGUGCCUCCCAGGUUAUAGUAGCGUCUCACGCUAAGCGCUCAACUCACCUAUGGUGAGGACCGCUAAUAAACGCUAGCUAGUAAUGAAUAAUAAUGACCCUAGUAUGGUGAUUAAAAACAUACGAAAUCAUUUAAAUCCAUAAAACUUCCCAAGGUCAUGCGAAUGGUACGGUUCCCAACCAUAUUUGAAAUUAUCAUAAUAAAUUAAAAUAAAACACAAUGACGUGUCUCCACGUCGAAAUGUUCUCAAAUCCAUAAUUAUAAGCGAGAUUUAAUUAACAAGUAUAAAUUGUAAAUAAUUUCUCAAUCCGAAAAUUCUCGCUAAAAAUAUUCUCAAUGUCAAGAUCGAUAAUCCACAAAUAAACAAGAAAGUUAUAAAAAGAGAAUUACCGAAAAUCUCAUUUUUGAAAAUCUUUUAUAAAUCUCAAAGUCCACAAAUAAAACAAUUAUAAUGAAAUCCGGAAUUUAUAAAGAAUAUCCAGACUCAAAUACCAAAUUAAUAAUCUGAGCUCAAAUCCAUAAAUCAUGACCAACCAAUAAUCAAUGCUUCAAUCUCAAAUAAUUUCAAAGACCAUCUCAUAAGCUGAAAUUAUAAUAUAAGCUCAGAAAAUAAAAUAAUAAAUUAUAAAAUCUUGCAUGCAUAUUUAUUUAAAACCAAAAUGCCCACUCACAAAUUUAGGUAUAAACCCGACGAUAUCCGAAUCGCCACUCAAACGAGACCCCCCUCAUAUCUUGGCACAAUAAAAAUGCUUAAGACCAAACUUCAAUUCCGAAAAAUAAAUACUUAAAUAUAAACAUUCAAAUCUCUUCCGCUUAACCCACUACCUUUAAUAGGGUUAAGCUUAUCAGAUUCAUGUCAAACUCCACCACAACCUUAAAUCAUCGAUUCUAACAUUUUAAAACAGUUGCCAAGGAAAUCUAACGGUUCAAUCUUUAUUCUAACAACCGCCAAAAUCUUCAAUCUUUGAAAAAUCCCAAACCUAACCAAAACUCCUCCAACAAUUCCAAAUUUCACAUCAUUAAACUCCUCUCAUUAAAACAAACUCAAAAACAUGAAAAACUACCCCUAAGGGGCGGCAGCCAAACUCCGGCGAACUCCAAUGCUUCCCAAAAUUUAACACAAUAUUCCUCUCAACACGCACAACAACUUCCAUAACUAGCCCAAAGUCCAAUUCUAAGCCUAACUAGGGUAAUCAAACCAAAACAACAAAAAUCCCAAUUUAUACCCUAGAAUUUCAAAUGUCUGAUACUCCUUACCUAGCUCAAGGUGGAUUGAAACCUUUUGAGGGUUUGCUGUAUAAGAGGAGAGCUUCCAAAUGAGACUAGAAGCUCCGGCUAUGGCUGUCACAUCCCGACUUUUAAAUUUUUACCUUAUUUACUAGCUUGGUAUUAAUAAGAAUUUUACCGUCUUCGUCAAUGAGUUAUUAGUUUAAAUGGUCCCUAGAGGGGUUUUUGGAGACGUCUAUUUCGGUGGAAUUAUUCGUAGUAGAAAAAUUUGAUGAUGGUAAAAAUGGUAAAUUUUAGCUAGUAAAAAGGGUAAUUUUUAUUAGGGUAUUAUUUUUUAGGGUGUUAAUUUUUAGUGUUGGGUUUGAAAAGGUUUGGGUUGUGGAACCGGUUUGGAAAGCCCAAACCUUAUUUCCUCUCUCUCUACCCGACUCUCUUUCCCCUCUCCCCCGAACCUUUUCCUUCCGCCAGCGAUCUCCGGCUCGGAUCGCCACCGUCCGGCCAGCAUAGCCCACCGCUUCGGUCUUAGUCUAUCCGCCGUCAUCUUCUGCCACUUUCUGGGUUGGGGAUCGGGUCUCUAACGCCACCCAGAGAAGGCCAUCUCGGCUAGAAGCCCGACUGUGCAGUGAGGAGUUUUGCCGGAAUAUCUCCCUCCGCCGGCCACCAAUCCGAGCACUCCUUGUAUGUUUUGGGAGGUCUUCUUCUGUGUAUCCUUGCCCUAGAAGGAAUCAAUCCGGUUCUUUUCAGGUAAAGAGAAAUCAACGAUUGAAACUCUGGGGCUCAAUUUACUGUUUUUAGUUGAUUUCCCUAUCUAGGCUUAGAAUUGGUGUUUGUGGUAGUUAUGAAAGUUGUUUAGAUUGUUGAGAGGAUGAUUGCGCUAAAAUUUGGUGGGCAUUGGAGAUCGCUGGAGUCGGCCGCCGGCCGCCGUUGCCUGCAGAGCAGACAGCAACGCCGCUGCCGUUAGGGGGAUUUUCAUAGUUUUAAAUGUGUAAUAUUAAGGGGAGUUUAAUGAUGUGAAGUUUGGAAUUUUUUGAGGAGUUUUGGAUAGGUUUGAGAUUUUUGAAAGAUUGGUGAAUUUUGCGGUUAAUGGGGUAGAAUCCGACCGUUCGAUUUUCCUUAUUAUUGUUUUAGAAUGUUGAAAUCAAUGAAUUGAGGGUAUGGUUGGAGUUUGGCGUGAAUCCGAUAAGCUUAACCCUAGAAAGAGUUGACGAGUGCAAAACCUGCAUCAAAUAAACGCUUUUUAUCCUUAGUAGCAUUGAGUAAGUAGGGUAUCGUAUAGGGCCGGGGAUUGAGGGUACCUUGCAAAACAAAGCGUUAGAAAAACACAACAAAUAUUAACAAGUAAUAAAACAUUUAAACAAUUUACAAAAGUAGCUACUGUUCCAUAGAACAGCAGUCGAAAACCUAAUUAAAAACCUAACCUAAACUACUCAGAAAAAUAUGAAAAUUUACAGAGAUCUACUAGACACACAGAGAAACUAAUGUACAAAUUUUCAGGGGAUUCGGAGAUUGUUUGAUACGAAAAUAAAAGAAAAGAAAACAGAGAACAGAAGAGUGACGAAAAUCCUAAACUAAAAAGAAACAAAAACCUAAGCUACUAUAUACAUGUGAUCGUCUCUUUGCACACAAGAAAACACUAAAUCAGAUUCAUAUAAUCAAGUAACUAUGUAAUUUCAACCCUAACAACCUAAAUCAUGCAUAUGGAGAAACGAAUCAAAUUCCAUGUUUCAAGUAAUUUACCGACGCGGACUUAACUACUUAAAACCCUUCUAACCUCUCAUAGAUAUGUACCGACGCGGACUUCAUAUCCAAAAUAGAUCAAAGGAAGAACUUGAACAUGUUAGAAUGUAAUUCACCGACGCGGACUUCAAAGACAUCCUAGCAUGCAACCUAUAACUCCUUACCAUUCUAGUUCAUGUUUACCGACGCGGACUUAACACAAACAAUGGCACAUAUUGAUUAAGAACAAGUCAUAAGUUGUCAAUCACACAUAUAAACAUAAUUUAGAUCAUCAAAAGCAUCAUCAAUUACACCAACAACUCAAGUGUACAGAUCUGAUUUUCAUGAUUAUAAGAACAAACUCAAUCAAAAAUCCAACUCAUGAACACAAACGAAUAAGAGAGAUGGAAACAAACUAAAGUAAUUGAAUAGAUAAUAAAAGAAAACAUGAGGUCUGAGUUUAGAUUACACUUUGAGUAUUGAAACAAGGAACUACGCCGAGAAUUACAGAGGAGAAGGCAGGAGAAAUCCUAAAACUAGGGUUUGUGUUUGGAGAAGAAUUUCUGAAGGAGAUGAAAGACGUUGUUUUUCUGCGGCCAAGAGCGACCCUUUCACGUCCCCCACUCCUCAUACAUAUAGAGAACAUAUGAACAGCUGCUAUUAGGGUUAGAGAACCUUUAAUUUUCGUCCAUGGGCUCGCCGUUGUGGUCUGGGCCUUGAAAUUGAAGUUCCGGUCCAAAUCAGGAAUUCGGGCAGACUGACCUUUGGUCACUCAAACGGUCAUAACUUGGUCACCAAAAUAGCUAUUGACGAUCUGCGAAAAGUUCUGAAAACUAGACUCUUCUAGCUUUCUGCUGAUAUAAAGUUCAUCUCCUGGAUCGUUGUGAGCAGAUCACAAUUCUCUGUCGAAGUUGACUGACUAUUCCUGGCAGAUUUUCUGAUUUCUUUCCUAGCGCCAUAUGGAUUCCUUUUCCUUCAAGAUUUCUCCUCUUUUGCCUCUUUUGUGCUCCUCGGCUUUAUUUGUGACCUAAAAACACAAACUAAGUUAAAAUCAAUAUUGUUAAAGGAAUUACAUAACUAAAUAGGGUCGGAAAUACAUUAAGAACGUUGCAUAAAAUGCACCUAUCAAGAGUAAUGGAUUAGGCGGAAGAGUUUUGGGUUAUAUAAUUAAGUAUUAUUUUUUCUGAAAUUGAGUUUGGUCCUAAGCAUGGUUUUUGUGCCAGGAUUCGAGGAGACCUCACUUGAGUGGCGAAUUGGAUUUCGUCGGGCUUAUGCCUAAAGUUGUGAGUGGACUUUUGUUUUAAUUAAAAGCAUGCGAUGCAUUAUAUUGUUGAUUAGUUAUUCUUCUGCCGAAAUUUAUUGCUUUCUUUGAUAUUUGGCAAUUUUCAUCUUUUGGAGAGUUAUCGAAAAUGAUAUUUUUGGUGGUUAUGUAUAUUGGAUGUUUAUGAGUAUAGUAUGUAUAUAAAUGCUAGCUAGCCAUACGUGCUUGGUCCGUCAUAAUGAGGUAAAAUUCCAUUAUUGUUACAUCCCGACCCUUAUAUUUUACCUUAUUUACUAGCUUGGUUAUAAUAAGAAUUUUACCAUCUCCGUCAUUGAGGUAAUAGUUUAAUUGGUCCCUAGAGGGGUUUCGGGGACGAUUAUAUGCGGAGGAUUAUGCGUAGGAGAAAAUUAUGGCGACGGUAAAAAUGGUAAAAUUUUAGUUAGUAAAAGGUAAUUUUUAUUAGGGUAUUAUUUUUCGGGGUGUUUUAUUUUUUUGAGUUGGGUUGAUAUAAGCUUGGACUGGUUUAGGGUGUGAGGCCCAAACCCAUUUUCUCUCCUCUCUUUUUCUUCCCGGUUCCCCUCUUCCCUGAGUUUCCUAUUGCCCGGUUUUUCGGCCAUCCGGCCACCGUUCGCCGCCGCUCCGGUCCCAAACGGUCGGCCUCCGACCCACCUAUCUCCCUGGACUGGUGACAGCCGCCCUAGCUCCGCCAUGAAGGAGCGCUCUCCCCCGAAAGGUCCGACUGUGUUAAGCUUCACGUCGCCGGAACUUCCUUCUCCGGCCACCAAUCCGGGCAAACCAUAUAUGGUUUUGAAGGUUUCCAACCCAGUUGCCUUGCCCUAGAAGGACUCGGUCCAGUUUGCUUCAGGUGAGGAGAACCGGUGUGUGGAAGCUCUAGCGCUUUUUGUGUUGUUUUCGUUCGAUUGACCUAGUUAGGCUUGGAUUUUGGGUUUGUGCUAGUUAAGAAAGUUGUAGAGCAUGAUGAGAGAAUUAUUCUGUCAAAAUUUCAUAGGAAUUGAAGGUCACCGGAAUCGGCCUCCGGCCGCUGCUGUUUGGGAGAUUUUUAGGGUUUUAAAUGUGGAAUAUUAAGGGGAGUAUAUUGAUGUGAGUUAUGGAAUUUUCGGAUGAGUUUUGGAUAGGUUUGUGAAUUUCCGAAGUUUGGUAUUUUUGGCGGUUAUUAAUGUAGAAUCCGGCAGUAGGAUUUAAGUCAUUAAUCUGUGGAAGGUUGAUUUAAGGCUGCCGGUAUGUUCGGUGAAGUUUGAGCCAUUUUGAGUUAAGAAUGGCGAAGUUGGGCAAUGAUGAGUGUGUGGGAGGCUCACGUUUAAUUUUGCCCAUUGUGUUUAAUUAUUGGAUUUUUAGUGGGAAAUUAAUUAUAUAUUUGGAACAAGACGAGAGGAGGCCCGAGCAGAGGAAGCCUCGGAGCGUCAUCAGGCUUAGGCCUAAUUUAUGAGUGGACCUUUGUUUUAUUUGAAAAACAUGCGAUGAAUUAUUCUGUUGAUCAUUUAUUUCUUCUGCUGAGACAUACGUGCUUGGUCCGUCAUAAGGAGGUAAAAUGCCAUUAUGGCGUGACGUGAGUGUUAGACACUAGCGUCAUAGCCCUAUAUGAAAACUACUUUCUUUCUGGUUUAUUUAGGUUUUCAUAUAGGGAGUCCACGCUUAUAUAAAUACACCGUCCUCUUCGGUCAUAAUGAGGAAAAAUACCAUUAUGGCGUAACGUGAGCGUUAGACGCCAACGUUGUAGCCUUGUAUGAAUUUCUAUUUUUUUAAAUUGUUUCUAGGAUUCAUAUAAGGAGUCUGACGGGUGUAAAUGCAUACGAAUAUAUUGAUUAUAUAUAAUUUAGCCUGAGAGGCUCCAUUUUAUUUGAGUUAGUGACUAGCCGAAGCUAGUCGUGAAAUUGCCAGUUUAUGAGUUGAGCGCUUUUGAGCUGCCGCAUGCAGUAUAUUUUUCUUUGGAAAUUAAAAUGGGGAAGCAUAAAUAUUUUUAUUAAUUUAGGUUUUUCCACUCACUCUAACGAUAUUAAAUGUUUUCCCCUGGGCCCUUCAUUUUAAAAUGCCCAGUCUGCAGAGUUCGGGUUGGUUCUAGUAGGAGGCGAGGCAUAGUCACCCGCAUUUCCACCACUUUUCACCAGUAGGUUACUUGUUUAACCUACCUGUGUUUUUCUUGCUUCCUCUAGUGUCUAGUAGCUCUAAUUUUCCCUUGGGGAUAUUGUAUAAUAUUAUUUCGGUUGUGAGCGAUGGCAUGAUGACAUUUUAGAGUAUUUGUCGGAGGAUUUAUGUUAUCUUUUUAUAUAAUUAUAUUUGAUGUUUGGAUAAUGUUGUGUUGUUGUUGGUGGUGGUUAUAUUUGGGGACCACGUAGGCUCCAGGAGUUAAGGUGGGAUUGAAUUUUUGGGAGUGUUUGCAGGUUUUCUUUAGGAAGGGCUGUCCAUUUUCAAGGGAGGUUAUGCCGAAUUUUCGGUAAUAUCUUUCUUGGAGGUGGUCCCCGCACGACUUACUUCGGGUUUCAGGGUGAAAUUCGGGAUGGGUCGUGUCAAUUUAGACACAAGACGUGAGUGUUAGACACAAGCGUCAUAGCCCUAUAUGAAAACUACUUUCUUAUCUGCUUCAUAUAGGUUUUCAUAUAGGGAGUCCACACGUAUAUACACUCGUGCUUUUCCGCCAUAAUGAGGUAAAAUUCCAUUACGGUGUGACAUGAGCGUUAGACACAAGCGUAGUAGCCUUGUAUGAAUUUCUAUUUUUCUUAUUCCUUCAUAGAAUUCGUACAAGGAGUUUGACGAGUGUAAAUACAUACAUAUAUAUAUAUAUAUAUAUAUUAGUUUAGCCAGAGAGGCUUUAUUUUAUUAAGUUUGGAGACUAGCCGAAGCUAGUCAUGUAAUUGCCAAUUGAUGAGUUGAGAGCUAUUGAGCCGUCGCAUGCAGCAUAUUUUCUAUGGAAAUUUAAAUUGGGAAAGCAUAAUUAUUUUUCAUUAAAUUCAUUUUGUCCACUCACUAUAACGGUUUCAAAUGUUUUCCUCUGGGCCCUUCGUUUAAAAAAUGCCCAGUAUGCAGGUUAGCAUAGUUGAGGUCAGGCGUACAUGGAGAAGAGGCAUAGUCAAUAGUAUAGCUUCCGCUUAUUUUUAUAUUUCUAGUUCCUUUCUUCUUUGUUAGAAUGCUCUAAACCUAUGAUUGUUGGUUGUGGAACUUUAAGUCUUAAAGUUAGUAAAUAAUUUGGGAGAUAUUGUGUUUUGGGGAACACGAAGGCUCCAGGAGUUAUAAGGUUGGAGUUCAAACUUUUAGAAGUGUUUGCAGGUGUUUAUUUAGGAAGGGUUGUCUAUUUUCAAGGGAGGUUAUGCCGAAUUUUCGGUAAUUUUCCUUGGAGGUGGACCCUGCAGGAUUUACUUCGGGUUUCAAGGUGAAAUCCGGGGUGGAUCAUGACAAUGGCGGCCGAAAAAGGAAGUUCCGGCAAGACGAAUCCGGUGGUGAUGGCGCGACUUUUCCGGCAUGAUUUUUCCCUCAAGGCGGCACAACACGACUAGCCACCUACCUAGACUUGAAGAGGAGGUUUCAAGCUUCGAUUUGAUACCAAGAUCGCCUCCCAUCUCGGUCGGACGGCGGUAGACGGCAAGAAAGAAUUUCGGCAGAGAGAGAGACACGGGAGAGAGGAGAGAGAGUGAGAGUGAGUUUUCUGAGUUUUACUUUUUGACUUUUCACCUUUUGACCUUUUUAUCCCACCAACCAAAAAUAGUAACUUUAGUUUUUACACCAUAACUUUCACAUACAAACUUUGAUUUUAACAUAUAGCAUGGCCACUGAUUCGUAUUAACGCCCUCUACAACUUCUGUAAAGAAAUUUUCUCAAAAUAAUUUUCCUACAAAAAGUCAACUCUAGGGUCCUUUAACAGUAACCGGUCACUCAAAAUGGUAAAAGUCAAAAUAAUACCAAAAACAAAUAACUGUAAUUUAAUUUAAGAACCGGGAUGGGACAAAAAUGGUGGUUGAGAGCACCCAAAUGAUGGUUCGGCGCCCUCCUCUCCCAAAAAGAGGGAUUAUGUUAUAUUGUUAUAUAUGUCUAUGUAGCUGCAUGAACACGGAAAUGAUGAGAAUUAGGCUUGUGUGUGGUAUCCACAACAACGUGAGGGGUAAUGAGGUGCCACGUGUCAGCUCGUGAUUGGCUUGAGAGAGAAAGAAUAAAGGUAUGAUGGCAUGCCUGUGGAUUUUGAAGAUUGUCGUCCAUUGGAGUGACUUCCAUUGGAUCUAAUGUAUCCCAAGGAUCACUAUGAUCUAUAAGUUUGUUUCCACACUCCUUCACAAAGAGGCCUUGGAGAGUUUCACCAAAUGAUGGGACGAACGACAAGUAUGAGCCUAGUAAUCGUCACUACCCACAUCUAAGAGAACCACUAGUUGCAUGCCUCUUUGGUGUUUUGUUUAUAUGACCUUUGCUUUUGGUAUUUUUAUCAUUGUUUUGAUAGCACAAAUAGUUGUUGUGUACACUACGUCCAACAUCAUUAUGACGUCCACUGCCACAACGAUGAACACAACCACUGCCAUGCCUUCCGCAACCUUUAUUGCUAUUUCCACCACUGUGAACAAUAUUCACCUCUAGUAGGGCGAUAUUUAUGAUUCUUCAUCAGUAACUCAUUAUUCUGCUUAGCCAACAACAUAGAAGAAAUGAGGUCAUAAUAUUUCUUGAAGCCUCUUUCACGGUAUUGUUGCAACAUGAUGUUAUUUGCAUGGAAAAUAGGGAAAGUUUGCUCGAGCAUCAUAUCAUCAGUGAUGUCUUCUCCACACAAGUUCAUUUUGAAAGUAAUCUGAAAGAGAGCUGAAUUGUAUUCAGUCAUAGAAUUGAAAUCUUGAAGGCACAUAUGCGACCAUUCAUAGCGUGCUUUUGGAAUAACAAUUGUCUUCUGAUGAGAGAAUCGAUCAGAUAAGGUAGCAUGUAAUACCCCGGAAAUUUGAUAUUAGUUUCUAAUAUUAUUUGGGAAUUUUCGAGUUAGAAGUUAGUGACGGAAGAGCAGAAAUGUUAGGAUGCAUAAAUUACCCGAAGCGGUUUUAUUGUUUUGAAGUGUAAUACCCCGAAAAUUUGAUAUUAGUUUCUAUUAUUAUUUGGGAGUUUUCGAGUUAGAAGUUAGUGUGUUUUUGAGGUUCGAAAAAAUAGCGGAAGUGUUCGGACGCGUAAAUUUCCCAAAAAGGUUCUUUUUGUUUUCUUUAAGGGUCAUCGAGUUGACUUUUUAUUCGUUGGGUUUCUCGAGAAACUUCCUUCACGGAAGUUGUAGAGCUUGGCGAUACGAGUUCGUAGACAUACGGCACUCGUAAAACGAACUUCGUAGGAAGAAGUUUUGGUCAACGGAAGUUUUGUGGUUUUCGGGAUUAUUAGUAUAAUAGGAAAAGUUUGGGGUUUUUUAUUUUUGGAACCCUAAUAAACCCCNNNNNNNNNNNNNNNNNNNNCGUACCGUCUCUCUCUCUCUCUCUCUCUCUCUCUCUCUCUCUCUCUCUCUUCUCUCUCUUCUCUCUCUCUCUCUCUCUCCCGUCUCCAUUUUCACCCUCAAACUUCAUCCGGCCAUAACUCGGCCAUCCGGCGACGGAUUUGGGCGUGCUUGGUAUCGUUGGAAAGCUCUCACUCCCCUCUUUCUAUUCAUACCAGCCUCACACCCUAUGGAGCACUGUGCAUGGCGCAGCAAUGCCUGCAAGUUGCUGCUGCCACCGGCGGUGAAGCUCCGACCGAUUCCGGCGAUAUCGAGGUUUGAGGCUACCCAUUUCUGGAAGUUCUUGUCCUUCUGAGCAUGAUGAUACCAGCCUUGAAGCCUAAUUCGAAGCGUGGAGUUUUGGAGUUCGAAAUGCUCCUUGUUUCUUUCCGGCGACGUUUCCGGCCUCUUUUCGGCCGAAUUGGCUUUGGCCACAGGUAUGAAAAGUGUUCCAUUUGAUGUGACCUACAAGUUUGCUGUUGGGAGCUUGCUUAGAUUUUGAAGUUGAUGGGGUGGCGCCUGGGGCCAACUCGCCGCCGCCUGUGGUGGCAUGUGGCAGCGCGUCCGGCAGUGUUCCUAGCUUUAUUUUUAUGUGGUUAGCUAGCUCUUAUUGUUGUGAGCUUGUUGAGAUGUAGAAUUUCUAGGUUGUGAGCAAGGUUUGUAUGUUAGGACUUUAAGUUUGAUUUUAGGCUUUAAGGUUGAGAUUUGAGUUAGGGUUUGAGGAUUAGAGGCAGUCUUAUUGGGGUUGUUAAGUGUGAUGACCUUGGGAAAUUGUCCUCCCUUGAGCUAAGGGUUAGUUUAAGGGUGUUGUGAUAUCCUUGGUUACUAAGGUUAUUGUUUGUGUAAUUUUAGGUAAUUUGUGAAGUGUGAUUAGCUUGGCUUGACUCUUGUGUUGUUAUUGAAGAUGCAGCGGGAGUAUUUAGGUGAGUAACAUCUCACCAAGGUUCACUUGGAACCAAUUAUUUAUGGAAUUGUGAUGAUGAUGGUGAUGAUGAUUAUGAUGAUGAUUAUGAUUAUGAUGAUAAGAUGAUGAUUAUGAUGAUGAUUAUGAUGAUGAUGGUGAUGAUGAUUAUGAUUAUGAUGAUGAUGAUGAUUAUAAUAAUUAUAAUUUAAAAUUAUGUUUUUUUUUGUUUUGUUUGUUUUAAAAUAUAUGAGCUUGAUAGGCAACGGCUCAUAAGUAAGUUAAAACAAGUUUUGUUCUAUUUUAUGAUUAUUUUUAAGGUUCAUAUGAUCAUAAUGUUUUUGGUUAUUGAUAGAUUAUUCUUGUGGAAUAUCUAUAUUUGUUCAUGUAAAUAUAUCUAUGUGGAAGGAUAUAAUUAUGAUGUGAUCUUGUGUUGUUGAUGAUAAUGUUGUGAUAUUGUGAUUGUUGGAUAAAUAGCCAAACCGGGUUCCAAGCCUUUAAUUGGGUGAUUGGUUGCGGUUAAGAUGCUAUUUAUCAUUUUUGUGUUUUGAUAUUAAAUAGUCAAACCGGGUUCCAAGCCUUUAAUUGGGUGAUUGGUUACGGUUAUGAUACUAUUUUUAUUUUGUUAUUUGUUAUUGGAUAAUCAAACUGGAUUCUAAGCCUUUGGCUAGGUGAUUGAUUACAGUUAUAAAUAGAGCUCUAGUCCGUCUGUCGGUGUAGGUCAUGGGAGAUACCUUAUGGUAUCUGGGACCCAUGGGUACACAAAUUGUUGUUGUAGGUCAUGAGAGGUAUUUAUUAAUAUGUGGGACUCAUGGGUACAUGUUAUUUGUAAAAGUGUUGAAAAUGUGGUUUUAACAUUGUUCUUAAUUGUUGUCAAUUAAAUUUCUUGUUUUGAGUAUUUCCUGAACUAUCCUUUUUGCAGGAUUCACUUAUGAUUUUGAUUGUUUUGAAAAUUAUUGUGUUUUCUUAUUUACCCUAUUUUGAAUUUUAUUGUUUUGAGGCGAUUCCUGAACUAAGUUCUAAAACAGGAAUUACCGGUUUUAUCUUAUGUGAUGAGUUAUUUUUGGGAGUUACUCAUACAGGCUUUUUAGCUUACCGGGUUUGUUGUUUACAACCCGAUGCACCAAUUCAUGGUGUAGGGGUUAGACCUGCAGGUGUUGAUCAGCAUGGUUGAAGCGGAGGCAUAGUGGCAGGAUUUUAGCUUCUGUGCACUUUAUUUUGUUUGUAUAUUAUUGCACUUUGUUUUUAAGCUCAUGUGAGCGUCCUUAUUUUACUAGACUUUUGAAGUUAAUGUAAUUAAGGAGAUGUAAUGUUUAAUUCAGUUGUUGAGUUUUGUUGACAUUUACACUUCUAGCAUUUGAGUUUAGUUUGGAAGUUGUUGAGCAGGUUUUGUGAUUUUAAGAUGUUAGGAUAUAUCAUGCCCAAAUUUUUGAAAAUUAUCCUUCGAAAAUUGGGGUGUGACAUGAAGGGUCAAGAGUUGACUUUUUAAUCUGUUGGGUUUCUCGAGAACCUUCUUUCACGAAAGUUGUAAAGCACGACGAUACGAGUUCGUAGACACGUGGCACGCGUAAAACGGACUUCGUAUGAGAAAGUUAUGGUCAGCAGAAGUUCGUGGCUUUACAGGAUUAUGGGUUUAUUAAGAAAGUUAGGGUUCCCAUUUCAUUAUUUUCAUAAACCUCAUUUCUUUCUCCCUCUCCCUCUCUCUCCCCCCGAACCCUCACUAUCAGCGUUCUCCAACCGACCCGACCCGGACCCGGUCAACCCGACCCGAUUUUUCUGGCCAACUCCGACGGACUCAGACGGCGGCACCGGCUGGAACUCUUCCUCUCCUCGACGCAAUCCUCCCUGUGUUGGUGAGUGAGGAUGACUCAAGCGGAUCAGUGCUAAUCGAGCGCCACAAUGAGGGUGGCGACCUGGUUUGCAACCCGAUCGAAAUUCCACCUCCGGCGGCGACAAGGCCUAAAAUCGGUCAGGAUAGGAAGGUCUAGGUGCCCAUGUUCGAUCCUUGGUGGUCUCUGGAAGCUUGAAUCACUGUGUGUAGUUGCUGUGGUGGAUUCUAACUUUUCGGUGAGUUUUCCGGCGUGCUCCGAUCGAUUUGGCGGUUACUCUAGGUAUGAAAAUUGCUCCCCUUACCUUAUUGUUCAUGUUGGGUAUAGUGGGUACGCUUUUUGUUGCAGGGUUGUAUGGUGGUGCGUGGGGCCCACUCGCUACCGUCGGUGGUGGCGCGUGGCGGCGCGUCCGAGAGGAGAUUGGUGACGUGCCCAUUACCGGGCAUGCGACAAUUAAAAACCCUUUUUGACAAUCGUAAUAUAAGGCAAAUAAGGUUCGAUCAAUCCGAGGACUAACGGUGCUCCUGUAACAAUAGUCAUGUAAAAGUUAGUACUAUAAACAAGUAUUCACAUAUUUACAAAGAUAAACUGGGGGUUUUGAGGUUUGUUUUAAUGUUCCUACUAAAAGAUAAAGAUACAAGCUAAACUAAUAUAUACAAGUGAUCGAUUCAUUCAUUGCAUCAACAAAGAGAGAGACUCAAUUUCUAACCACAAAAUUAGAGAGACGUUUCAAUCCUAAACAAUCUGAAUUAUAUCAACUCAACUACUAGCAACAACCUCAAGUACAUACUGAUCCAGCUAUGCACCCAUAGAUUCUUCUUAGCUUAUCAUCUUUAAUUCGUACACCACGCAAUCAAAGAUUAUUUCAUGCAUAGGCUGCUAUCAAUGCUACAAGCAUCUGUCUACUCUAAACAUGAAUCAUUAAGUUCUAAAGAAUCGAGAUUGAACAUAUAUAACUCGGUGAUGAAAUCCCACUUAUUACUAUGCAACCUAUGUUCUCAACUACUCACCAUAGUUUCCACUACUAUAGAUCAAUGCUUACCACACUGGCAUAGCACUAAAUCAUGGCAUACCGUUAACAUGCAUUUUGGAGUCUAUUCAAACACAAACAUAGCUUUACUAAUACAAGAGUUAACAUAACCAGAUUGCAAAGAAUAUCAUAAACAAAACUUUAACAUGCUUUACUAAAAUAUGAAUCCACUAAUAUCAAACAACCAAAACAAACAUCCAAUUCCAUUGAUGAAAACCGAAUCCAUGUUCUCAAAAUUGAAAAGAAAACUAAACAACUGUAGAGGCAUAGUCCACACUUUUUUUGAUCUUCAAGAAGCUUGAUGAUGAAAAAGAGGUGCUACGGCUUCAAGGCUCCUACUCUCCAAGGCUGCCGCGCUUGAUACAACGUCAAGGCUAGGGCAAAAGGAAGGGAACUCGCAAGGGAAAGGAAGCUGCUUGGCUGCUCUCUAUUUCUCUAAGGUGUUUGCGUGAAUGAAUGAUGAUUAUUUAUGAAGCCAAGCAGCCUUUAUAUAGUGUCCAUGAAUUGCUCUUGGCCCUUGAUUCAAUCUUGAUUCAACGGUCCUCCUUGAUUGCAUAAAAUCUGAUAUUUAUCUUCGCUGAUAUUUUCCUUAUCUUCAAAGAUAUUUAUCUUAUCUCUAAAGAUAUUUCUAGAAAUGUGCAAUCAUGCUUUGAAUGUAGCUUGAAUCAUGUCUGAAUACAUUACUUAGCCUCCAAGAGUCUUCAUAGAUCUUCAUUUAGGAUUACUUGUUCAA
rnacentral:lncRNA from 1 species